rnacentral:lncRNA from 1 species
CGAAGGGUACUUGUUUCUGUGGCUGAGAAAGAUUUGUUGAGGGAUAGAGGAUGGUAUUAUCAUGAUGUUCUGGUGAAUAGUGCAUGGAAUGGGCAAGUUGAUAUAAUUGAAGCCAAAGGAGAGGGACAUGUCUUCCAUUUGUAUCCACCUUUUCGUGAAAACGCUUUAACUUUGUUCAAGAGUAUGUUUUCUUUCAUCAAUGGGGACAAGUAAAUGUACACAUAAGUGGUUAAAACAUGGUUUUAAAUGUUUUCAUGCUAAUAAAUAAUUGUGGUUAUUUUUCUUGUUUCGUUUUUAUGGAGUUUUCAUGAUAAGGGUUUUAAAUAUUAUGAAAACAUAUUAACCUCUCUCUAAUUAAGGAAUCUUAGUCCAAUAAUAAUUGACGAUUCAAUGUUAGUCUUCUAAUUGGAAUCGAUAAAAUCGUUGAAUUUGCAUUUGAGUCAUUGUUUUUUUUUUUUUUUGUCAAUCUUUUCAAUAAAUAAUGAAAUUCUAAUCCUAAAAUCAUGAUUCAGUGUUAUUCCUAGUUAAUCUAUUUAUUAUCCUAAACAGAAACACAUAAAGUUAACGUAUUCAAAUUCGAAUCUUAGACAUAUUGUAUUGGUUUUACUAAUACUACGAGUACAAGAAGUUUUGAAGAGUCGAUUAACAAAAUUAUGAAUUUCGGUAUCAGUGUCUUCAUUUACAACAAUUUGAUUAACCGCCGAUUCCACUGAAGUCUAUAAUACAGGUAAUUAUUUGUAGAUAAUUGAUGUUAAUUUCAAAUCAUUUAAGGAUUAGUUACAUUUAGACAAAAUUGCAAAAAUGGUCCCUGUGGUAUGCAAAAUUUUGGGGUUUUAGUCCAAACCACGAGUUUUUUGGAACCAUAGUCCUUUUUGAGUGGUUUCUAUGUGGUUUUGGUCCCUGGACUUAACUCCCGUUAAGUUGGAACUGUUAAGCCCCCUCACGUGCCUCACACGUGAGGGUAAUUUCGUCAUUUCAUAUGUCAGGGACCAUUUUUGCAUAAACGUUUUUUUUGGAUUAAUUGACAUUUACCCCUCAUUUACUUUCCCCAACACUCGUCAACUCCCCAACUCCCUCCUUGCUUCUGCUCCAUUGAACCUGCAAAAAACCCUCGUUGCUUAUCCAAACAAGAUAAUCGACACNCUUAUCUAAACAAGAUAAUCGACACUACACAUAUAAGGGCAUACGUUUAAUAGGAAAUGGUGUUCGUAAUGUGGCAUAUCAGACCAAAACACGAAGUUGUUGAUGUAUCAACUGUAUAUGGUAAGCUGCUCUGUUUUCUUUAACUUUUAUACUUUGCAUUUUCUUAUUGAUUUAGAACAAAAAAAUGCAAAAUUUUAACUUUGUUAAUAUGUAUAAUUUUGAUUUUUAGCUGGUGCACCCACAUGGUUUAGUAUUAAGCUUCAUCACGGUGGGAAAUUUACUAAAUUACCUGAUAUAAAGUACAUUGGAGGUGAAGUGCGUUAUGUUGAUUAUGUGGACAUUGAUGAGUUUUCUGUGCAUGAACUUGAUGCCAUAAUGCUUGACCUAGGUUACCCAGACCCACGGAAUUCUGAAUUCGCUGAUGAAUCCCCAGUUAUAUACUACCAUUUUAGGAUACCCAAUGGUGACUUUCAAUUUGGUCUUAGAGCUUUAGGGAAUGAUCAGGAUGUGAUCAACCUUUCUAAAUAUAUUGCACAUAACAAGCUGAUUGAGGUGUACACAGAGCAUGGAAAGACAAAUUUAUUGACUUACUUCAUGUCACCAAAUGCAAAGGGUAAAGUUGUCAUUGAGGAAUUACCAGAAAAUGAUGAUCAAGGGGCUGAAGUUGAGGGUCAAGUUCAUGCAGAUUCUCCAAUGAAAAAUGUGAACCAUGGUAAUGGUGAGCCUAUUGGUGAGUUCAUGUCUCUGAUUCUUUUUGGGAGUAAGAAUGAUAGUUUCUCACCAGAGUAUAGAAGGGGUAGGGUUGGGAAUUCCAAAAUAGGUGAAAGUUCUUGUAGCAAGAGGCUUAAUUUAGAUUAUAUUGAUGAGGUUGUUCACAUUUCAAAGGAAAAGAAUGAUGAUCAGGAUGGUUCAACUAAUGUUCAGGAGGCAGCAACUUAUGUUCAUAUUAAUGAGAUGGAUGGUGUUAGGGAGGCUGCAAAUGUUGUUCAAGAGACAUCAAUUGUUGAUGAAGAAGGCUACAACACCCCCCUGUUAAUAAUGCUGAUGAACAAUUGAAUGAGUUAUUUGAUAACCUUAUGGAAAAUUUGAUUGGGAGUGAUGAUGAUAAUGCAGAGUAUGAAGGGGAUGGAGAAUCUGAAGAGGGUAAUCAAGAGUAUGAAGAGGAUGAUGAAUCUCAAGAAAGUGAUCCAAAUUUUGAAGAGUAUGAUGAAUCUGAAAAUAGUGAUCCAGAGUAUGAAGAAGAUGAGAGACAAAUAGAAGAUGAAGAUCAUAUGGGUGACAUAAUGGAUGUUGACAACAAUAUACAGGAUGUGGAUGUGGACAUGGGAGACUUCACUCUCAAUGUUGAAAGUGAUGUGGAAGGUUCUUGUAUAAAUGUUGUUCAUGGGCAUGAACCUGAAGAUAUGGAAGUGAUUAACAAUGAGGAAUUUGAAUCUUUGGAUGAAGGAUCCGACCAAGACAGAGAGAGAAGAGCUCUUAUCAAGAAUUUGAGAAAAGAAAAAAGGUGCAGUCUUGGGGUAGUACAUAAACAAUCUUUUUCAGUUGGAGAUAAAUUUAAUAGUAAAAAAGAAUUAAAGGAGGCAAUUGAUCUGCAUGCACUAGAAUCAAGAAGGAAUCUUUUCUUUAAAAAAAAUGACAAUGUAAGGCUUAGGGCACAGUGUAGAGGUGUUGUACCUGUCACCAAUAAAGGCCAAGUGGGUAGUCAAGCUACCACUUCAAAAAGAAAGGGUAAAGAAUUAAAGACACAAAAAGUAACAUGUGGUUGGUACAUUCAUGCAUCUAGGUCAAAUCCUGAAUCCGACUGGUUUAUAAGGACCUUAAACCAAACUCACACAUGUUUGCAAACAAGGAAACUCAGGGCUUGUACUGCUUCUUUAAUCAGCAAGAAAAUCUUUGAUCAAGUUGAGGCGAAUCCAGAUAUACCUUUGAGAGCCAUACAAGAUCACUUUCAAAAGACCUACCAAGUGGGUGUUAGUAUGGACAAGGUGUUCAGGGCAAAGGAUAAGGCAAGAAAGCAUAUAACUGGUGACUACACAAAGCAGUAUGAACUGUUGAGGGACUAUGUUCUCGAACUUCAAGCCACCAACCCAGACACCACAGUGAAAAUAGAUGUAUGUUCUGAGCCUAACCCUGAUUCCCCAACUAGGCAGUUUAGAAGAAUUUAUGUGUGCUUGGGUCCACUGAAAAAAGGGUUCAAGGCAUGCCUUAGGGACUUAUUAGGUUUUGAUGGUGCCUUCAUGAAAGGACCAUUCCCUGGGCAAGUCCUUUCAGCAGUUGGUCUUGAUUCCAAUAAUGGAAUUUACCCAUUAGCAUAUGGGAUUGUUGAGUCUGAAAACACAGAAAGCUGGAAAUGGUUUUUAGAUAACCUUGGGGAUGACUUGGACCUUGGAAGAAACUCAAAUUUUACUUUCAUAAGUGACAGGCAAAAGGUAAAGUUGGAAGUAGUUUUUAUACAUUUGGUCAUUUAAAGUGUGGUUGUAAGUUAAUUCUAAUGAUUGACAAUUAAUUUUUGCAGGGUUUACAUACUGCAGUUGAGCAAAUUUUUCCCAAUGCUGAGCAUAGAUAUUGUAUCAGACAUAUUCAUGACAAUAUGAGGAAAAGAUGGAGGCAAACAGAGUACAGGGACCACUUAUGGAGGUGUGCAUCAGCUACCACCAUUCCUGAGUUUGAACAUUUGAUGAAGGAGUUUAGUCAGUAUGAUAAGGAGGCAUGUGAAUGGUUGAAGCAAAUUCCUCCUAAACAUUGGGCAAGGAGUCAUUUUUCAGGUAAAUCUAUAUAUUCCAAUUUGAUCCUUAUGUCUUUCACUUAGUGAACUGUUUUACUUGUAUGUGAAUUGUAUUAAAUGUUUUUUAAUGGUAAUUUACACACAGGAAGAGCAGUUUCUGAUGUGUUGAUAUCAAACAUGUGUGAAGUGUUUAAUGGGAAGAUAGAGAAAGGAAGGGAUAAACCUGUCAUUGGAUGUUUAGAAUUCAUAAGGGAGUAUCUAAUGAAGAGGAUAUGCAAUGUCAUGAAGGAAAUGAAAAAGGCUAAAGGUCCACUAACACCCACAGCAACAGACAUCCUAACUGCAAGAAAAACAGUUGCUUCACAAUACAUUGCUAGGUGGAAUGGGGGAGACAAGUAUCAAGUCACAGGAGCUUUGCAGGAUCAACAUGUGGUUGAUGUUAGGAACAAAACAUGCACUUGCAGAAAAUGGGAAUUAAUUGGAAUUCCAUGCAGACAUGCAAUUGCAACUCUGAAUGAGAUGAGUAAAGACCCAGAGGCUGAGCUUGACAUUUACAAAUGGGUUCACAAGGUGUAUUUUCUAGAGACAUGGAAAAAGGCUUAUUCUUUUAAGGUGGAGCCAAUUAAGGGUAGAUCCAUGUGGCCCAAAAGUGAAUGUCCCACAAAGCUAAUCCCUCCUCCACAUCGCACUCAGGUGGGAAGGCCUAAGAAAAAGAGAAGACAAAGUGAGGGUGAAAGGUUAAGCAAAAAGCAGAAGGCAAGUCAAGGUGAUGGAGUGAAUGCUGCACAAGAAGGAGGUUCCCAAAAACCAACAAAUGAUGGAGUGCAGAAGCUAUCAAGGAAGCAUAUCAGUGUUACUUGUAGCAAAUGCAAGAACAAGGGACACAACUCUAGGACCUGUAAAGGGCAAGGUGGGAAUCAAUCCAAGAAGUAAUGUGUCAUGCAUGCAUGGAGUUUUUUGUGAUUUUGGUUGGUUAUGAAAACUUGGUUGUUAUAUUUACAAUAUUUUGUUGAAAAUUUUUGGUUGGUUGUUAUGAAAACUUGGUUGUUAUCUUAGGUAUGGUAAUGUGUCCCUUUUGGUAAUGUUUAGAAUCUUUGGUUGUUAUGUUUAGAAACUUUGGUUGUUAUAUUACAAAUCUUAAUGAAAUAUGCAUUUUGGUUAUGUACAAUUGGUUCUAAAUAUAUAUAUUUUGGUAACACAUUCAUACCAUUUCUAUUCAUAUGUUAAUUCUUAUACAUUCAUACCAUUUUGGUAAAACAUUCAUUACACUUGCAUCAUAAAAUUGUACAUAUAUCAUUAUCAUCAUAAGUCACUACAAACUUGAUCACAUAAAAUUACAAAAAAAUGACCAAAACACCCUUCAGAGUAUACCCCUACACAAACCAAAUAUAAAAGAAUACAAUCACAAAGAAAAACCAACUUCCAAACAUGUACAUUUUCAGCUUCAAAUUAUCAUCCUUCAAUGCUCUGACAUUUGCCACCAAAAUGUUGUUCUUGCAUAUCAGUCCAUUGCAUUGAUCCUGUAGCAUGUUCAUACCUCUAACCAACUCAUUGCACCGUUCCUGCACUGAAUUCAAAUUUCUUAGCAGACCAGGUAUGAUGGCUUUAGACCUAGCACACAUUGGGGGAUCAAGCCACCCAAUAAACCCACAAACGGAAUCAUUCAUAGGGCAUGCAAAAAAUCUCCUUCCUGGAUUCAGAGGGGUCCAAGACGUUUUCACCACAACAACUUUUCCACAAAAACAUAACACCAUUUUUGUUGUAGCAGAGCUCAAGAAGAAGAAGGGUAGAAGAAAAGAGACGUUGGGGAAGAAGAUCGCAGGAAGUGGGGGUAUUUAAAAGGAAUUAAUCCAAAAAAACGUUUAUGCAAAAAUGGUCCCUGACAUAUGAAAUGACGAAAUUACCCUCACGUGUGAGGCACGUGAGGGGGCUUAACAGUUCCAACUUAACGGGAGUUAAGUCCAGGGACCAAAACCACAUAGAAACCACUCCAAAAGGACUAUGGUUCCAAAAAAACUCGUGGUUUGGACUAAAACCCCAAAAUUUUGCAUACCACAGGGACCAUUUUUGCAAUUUUGUCGUUACAUUUAUUAACAAUUACCUUUAUUUGAAGUGAUGGUGAUGUUGGAACAAUGAUCAAGGGUCUAUUUCUGGAAACAAUUCAAAACUUUUUUUUAUCCUUGAAACUAUACAAGUUUACAUUUUUGUCUCACUAUUUUAUUAAACCAAGAAAGCCACAUAUUAUCAAUCAAUAAACUCCAUUUUCAUGCCACUUGAUCAAAGAUUAUUUUUUAAAAUUAGAACCAAUUUUUGUCUAGCAUGUAUUUACUAAUUUCGAUCCCCAUGCCCCACACUAAAGUUAUGUCAUCAUUAUAUAAAUAAUCAAAUAAGAGCAAAAUAAGAGAGAGAGAGAGAGAGAGAAUAAACUCCCCUUGGGUAUGUAGUGGCGAGAUUGAAUGAUUGCCAGGGGUUGCUUGUAGAUACAAAGCUUGAAUCUUUUGGAAAAUCUUGUUUGGUUAUGGAACUCAAAACAUAAUUGUUGAUAAUAUCGGGCACUUCGUAGUUAACUUUGGCUGACAUUUUGUUUUGAUAUACAAAAUGUGUGUGGAUCUAGAGCAUAUCUGUGAUGAGUAAUAUUAAUGGUCUAGUCGUGGGUGUAACGUUCCGUUCUUGGUACGCAUCUAAUUUAUUUAAGUAUAUAUUUUGUAAGAGCUACUCGACGAGUUGGUAGCCCUAACUCGUCGAGUAGAUGCCAAUUUAGACGCGGGAUUUAAGUGGUCUACUCGACGAAUCUAAAGCCUUGACUUGAUGAGUAGAUCCGUCAAGAUGAAACCCUAAUCUUUAGGGUUACACCCUGUUUAAACAUCAUAUCAGGCCUCCACCCCAGCCUCCAUCACCUCCACAGCCCACUCUCGAAACCCUAAUCAACCUUGUGUGUUAUUGAGCUAUUUCUUGCCACUUUGAGUGUUAUUUGUGCCUUUUGAAGAUUGUUGAAUGAGAAGAAGAUAGAAGCCUCAAGUGGGAAGGAGUAGAUCCAGGAACUACACUUCAUUAGCUACAUUUUUUGGUAAUCAAGUCUCGAACUUGAUCCUUUUUCUCUUAGAUCUAUUUGUUUCCAUUUUAUGAAGGUUUUGGUUCAAGAACCUUGAUCCUUGGGAUUGGGACGUCUCAAGUGACUUAUAUCUCAGAUCUGGGUUCUAGGAAGGGAUCCAUGGCAUAAAGGUGCAAAUUUUAUGACCAUGGAAGCCCCAUGCAAGCUUGUAUGCAAGAACAUGGCCUGUUUAGCCCUAAAAGACCAUGCAUGAAAGGAAAGCUCGGGACUUUACGUGACCAAUAGACGAUAAAAGCCUAGAUCUAGUAUAUUGUGCCUUGGUUUAGGGUGAUAUGGCUUGUGGAUCAAGAUUUAUGUCUUAAAGAAGUUAGGGUUUGGGUUAAACCCAUUAAGAAGAACUAAGGACAGGUAAAGUUGGAAACUUUACCCUUAAGAGUGUAUUCCUAGUAUAUAGAUGAAGUUUGGAACAUAGAUGUGAAAGGAAGGAGCUUAAUCCAUUGGGAUGGCUCAAUCAGACAGGGAAACUCGGCGAGUCCAAGGAAGGACUCGACGAGUUGAAUCCGGCUGUCUUGAUUAUUAUGACACAAAGAACUCGAUGAGUCUGUCAAGGGACUCGACGAGUUGACUCAGUCGACCACAAGUUUAACCACUACAGAGACUCACCGAGUGGGGAGAUAACUCGACCAGUUAGGUUGACUGGGAGUUAACCUUGACUUCGACUUUGACCAGGACGUUGACUUUGACCAGGGGAAAAAUGGUCAUUUUACCCUAAAGAGGAUUAUCAGAUUUUGAUUAAGUAUUAUUAUGGAAUUGAUAGUCGGAGAGUCGCCAGAGCAGUAGACAGGGAUUCCUCACUCGAGUUUUUAGCAGUCAGUAUUACGAGGUAAGUUUCUUUUGAGUAGGAAUGGGUCGAAAGCACCAAGGUCGGCCCAUAUAUGUGAUAUGUUAGUAGCUGAGUGUGGGUGGGGCUGGAAUCUCCUAGCAGUCGAGUAUGGGUGGGGCCCGAAUCUCAUAGUAAUAUUUGAGUAUAGUUAUGUGAUUGUUUGAUAGAUAUACUUGUUUUAUGUGUGAUACUUAUAUGCAUGUUAGAAGCGGAGUGUGGGUGGGCCUAAAUCUCCUAGAAAUUGGAGUGUGGGCAGGGCCCGAAUCUCCUAGAUAGCGAAGUGUGGGCGGGGUCCGAAUCUCCAUGAGAGUGGGGCAGUGCUCGUAUCUCCUAGUUGUAUGUUAUUUAUAUGGUAUGUGGUAGUUAGCGUACUAAGCUUCGUGCUUACAGUUUUCAGUUUGGUUUCAGGUACUUCAGCUAGCAAAGGGAAGGGCUUGGGAUAAUUGCAUGGCACACACCACAGUCUUCAGCCUGGGAUAUUUUAGACUCUGAUAUUUGAUACAUGUUUUGAUACAUUUUCUGGUUAUGAUGUUUGAGAUACAUGACAUGUGAUUUUAUUAUGAUGUUUUAUGAGUUAUGGGUUUUUCUUUAAUGAUUUUAAAACGAAAUUUUUGGACUGUAGUUCAGAGGUGUUUCAAGUUGAUAUCAGAGCCUUGGUUUGAGGGAUUCAGGCACACUUUCUGGUGUGUCUGAACUCAAACUAAGGAAGUGGUACAAAUUUUUCAAGGAAAAACCAUUUUUAUAAAAGGAUUUUUGAGAAAAGAAAAGAAUUUUAGAAAAAUUUAAAAGAAAAGAACUUUGAAAAGAGAAAAGGGUGUGGUGCAUACAAUCAGCCGAGCUCAAGUAAGUACUCCCAAAUUACCCAUGCAAGUUUAUGUUAUGAUAUGCUUAUCGGUUAUAUGAAAACUACAUGCUAGAUUAGGACUAAGGAUCUAAGAAGUAUGCCUUAUGUGCCUGUUAUAUGUGUAUGAACUAUAUAAGAACUACAUGCUACUACAGAUUAGUCAGUAUGAUAGCCUGAUUAGUAUAUGCUCGGUUAUAUGUACUUAAUGCUUGAAUGUUGCUUGCUUUGUGCUUUUAGGAGUUCUAGCUAUCUUUUACUAACUAGUACAAAUAUGUUAAGUUACAUAUUGUAAGGAUUAAAUAAUUUCAGAAGGUUAGGUCUUGCUUUAUUUCACAGCUCUUGUUUGAGUCCAACCGUUGUAGGGCAGGAUCUCUCAUUCGAUGAAUUAUCUAGUCUGAGUGAUACGUAAUAGUAUUCAAGAGCUAGUUAGGGGAGGAUAGCAGGGAUUUCUUAUGCACCUGAUAACGGAGAGCAGGAUGGUGACUACCCUAGGGCAAGCCUAGGAUGAGAGUAGCGCCUGAAGCACUAGUAGUAGAAGGGAAUUGGUAAUGUCAAGGCACUUCUUGAGGAAAGUACAAAUAAAUGUGGAAGGUAGUAUGGGCCCGUACUAAAGAAAGCAGAGAAUCUGUACUCAAGUCAAGGAAGCCUGAGAUGAAUCCAGGGAACUUGUAGUGUAUGUGAUCCCUCGAGUUCUGUUAGUAUUCCAAUGUUUGAUAUGAUGUGUUUUUCAGAAUGGUGGUUUUACGCCCUAGACCAGCAGUUGGCAGUUCAGGUGAGGGAUUAGGCCUAGGAUCUGGAGAUGAGUAGCUAGACGAGCAUACUAGGGAAUUCAUCUCCUCAGAGAUCACGCGCGGCAUACUAGACCAGACUCCUGUGAUCUUCAGCACGACUAAGGAGGGCAUUGUUGAGCUUUUGGACGAGAGAUCUAAUGUUUUCCGCACUGAGGUAGCGGCCAUGAUGGGGUCGCAUACACUGACCUUUAGGGAGUUCAGAGCUCGUGGAGCUCCCGACUACCAUAGGGCUCGAGACCCCAUUGCGAGCACCAGGUGGUUGGUGAAUGUCACCAAUGCAUUCCACACUAGUAGAUGUCCCGAGGGGGACAAGGUUCGACUUGCGUCCUGUCUUCUGAAGGACAGGGCACGUGACUGGUAGGAGGAGGUCCUACAACCAUUAGUGAUGAUGCAGCUCUUGAUGCUAUGACUUGGGGAGAUUUUUCGGCUAGGUUCAGAGCCAAGUUUGCACCUGUGAUAGAGGUGCAACAACUUGCUAGGGAGUUCUAGGAUUUACAUCAGACUACUGAUAUGGGCAUAUUUAGUUAUAAAAUUCAUGCUAUAUCUUAAUACUUUAUGUUGAUUUUAACUCAUUUAAUGAACAAAAGAUGUUUAAUUAGUCUAUAAUUUCAUUUUUCAGCAACAUUGAAAUGUUCGGAUGAAAAAGGAAGCGGAUUUAGCAAUUGGAAGCUUGGAUCUUGAAUUUAUAAGAAAGAAGGAUGUUACUGGACAACUUUACCCAUCGUCAGUGUUUUGGCCAUAUCUUAUGAACCGUAACUCGGAUUAACGAGAUUCAAAAUGUUCUGAAAACUAGACACAAUUUCGGAUGACUUUCUUGUUUUGAGAAAAUGUUGAUUCUGUCACACCCCAAAACCAAGAAUGGCGGAAUACGUUCUGGGGUGGAGGACGUCAUGUACAGUAUCAUAACAAUUGCAUAAUAGUAAAAACAAGCGACAACAACCAUUGCAUCAAUAUAGUAAUUGUAAAUACAAGCGUGUUCUGUACAGUUUGAUAGACACCAAAAGUAUAAACAAAAAUAAAAGUUGUGUCUUCUAUAAUCUCCAUCUUCUCAAAAGCUGCACCAGUACCUUUCUAUUUUUGACUUGAGAAUACAAGUUAUUUUGAAAACGAGUAUUAGCAUAAAGCUGGUGAGUUCAUAAGAAUUUAGUGUCGUUGCUUGUAUAAAAGUGUUUACAAUCAUGUAAUAUAAAAGCUGUGAUUAAUGUUUGAGAAUAGUAAAAAUCCCUAGAAAAUUCUAUAUUUUCCAGAUUUGAGCAUUCGUAAGUUUGAUCCUUUGAGUGUGUAAAAGUUUUCCCAUUGAAAUUUUCAGUUAUUAAAAUAAGGUAAUAGAUUUCAUUCACAUAAAGUAGAUGAGGAAAGAUAAUAUCUUAUUCCAGUAGUUUUACUGCCGGCUGGCUGUAGUAGUGUUGCAAACUUCAAUUAGUAAUAUAUAUUUAUUCACUUCGGGAAGUUAGCUUAGCCUAUAAUUCUUCAUGUGUUAAUUUGGGUAUGGAUGUGAUCUCUCAUGUAACCAAACUAAGUUAUAAUAGAGAGUCCGAUGACCUUCCCGGUCAUACGUAGUGUAGCGAUGUUUUGUCACCCCUGGGCCUAGUCGGCUCGGACUGUAGUUAGCAGUCAGGAUGUAAUAAUGUUCGUCCUGUAUAGAUCUAUACAUGUAGUGUUGCUUUCCUUCCGGGAAGCUCUGGUUACAUGGUAUUCGCACAGUAGAGUGCCGUAUAGAGGAAUAGUGUGUCGCAUUCUGGAUUAGUGUAUUCACUUGUAUUAUAGUAUAAUUAACUUUAUAGUAUAGUAUAUAGAGUGUUCUCUUUAACAUGUAUUAACUCGUAAUGGUAGUAAUUAUAGUGAGCAUCAUAGUGAUAGGGGUAAUGAGCAGUAGUCUUAACUAUACCUAUUAUAGUUAAAUAGAGUGUGGGAUUGCAUGCCUUCAGUUUACAAACGUAUUGAAUAAGGUGAAGACUUUCAUAUCCAACACAAAUAUAUAUGAUAUAUAAGUAAGAAUUCAACGACAGUCAGACAGAUAACAGUAUAUCCUAAGACCACAAUCAAACAAGAACAUGAAGUAAGGCAAGCUAUCAAUCCUAAGUCCUUCAAGUCUUACUUAUAUAAAUAUAUUGGUGUAGAUAUAGUUUAAAAGAAAAGUAGUUUAAAAAACAGUUUGAAAAUAGUUUAAUAACAAUUUAACAUGGAAAAAUGCAUUUGAUAAUUAUUUAAAACAGUUUUGUUGACAAGUAGCUAAAAGUAUAGAAAAUCCUUUUUGAUUGCAAGUUAUAAAUCACAUGUGAUUUGAUACUAUAACUUGUAUUUAACUUGUAUUCCCCCCACCCCCCCCCAUAAAACAUUUAAAAACCUUUAAAAGGUUAAUUAAGGGGUAUGAACUUACCNNNNNNNNNNNNNNNNNNNNNNNNNNNNNNNNNNNNNNNNGAUCGGGUGGAAGUGUCGGUUGAGUGUUUGGUGUCAAGUGAAGACUUGAACACACUUUAUGACCCUAGUAACAUAUGAAGACAUAUGUUUACAUAUAAUUAGUGAUUAAAACACUAAUUAAACACGUAUAGACAUCCUAAUGCAAAGAAAAACUCUUUGGUCAAGUGCUAGGAGGCUAUUGGGUUGCAAGGAAAGAUUGUAAGGCCUCACUAUGGAGUUUACUCCUCAAAUACUCACCUUAGGUGAGUUUGCGGUUGAGGGACCAAUUCCCCCAUGGGUUUACGACCGUAAACUCAUGGGAGGAGUGUAUUUGAGUGCUUAAGGGUCUCUUACAUCACUAGGAAGGGUUCUAAGUUUAAAUCCAUGGCUUGAGGAGUGAUUAGGGUUCAAAAGGGGCACUCCCUUGGAGUUUGCGGUCCUUGGACCACUCCUUGGGAGUUUACGGUCGUAAACACUAUGGUUUACGGCCGUAAACCCUUAGACACACCUUUUCCUUCGUUUUUGAGGUCCUUAGCUCACUCCUACAAGUUUCUAAGUCAAGGUCCAAGGCUAAAUAGGGAGUUUAGGGCUCAAUUUGCAUCAUUUGAGGGAGUUUACGGCCUAAGAAUGCUCAUGGGCCGUAAAACCUCAUUCAAGCCUCCAAACUUAAUGUUUAAUGUCUAAAACACUUCAAGGGUAAGUUCUAAGUUAGUCUCUAAGCCUAAGGAAGGGAUUUGGGGGCAAUUGACACCCUUUUAGGGGUUUACGGCCUAAGAGGGUUCUUGGUCAAUAAACUCCUUGUUCUUGACCUUCUUGGAUAAUUUUCAUGCUAUAUAGACAUGUAAUGAGCUUUAGAACAAUCUAGGGUAAGAGAACUUAUAGUUUGGGGGCGAAAAAUUGCAGAUUUUUGGAAGAAUCGGGCCUUGAAGGGAGAGAGUAGAGAGAGAGUGUGUGACUAGAGUGGGAAAAGUUCCAUUUAGUGCCCACUCAACCCUUAUAUAGGGGUUGAGUUUGUGACCAGGUGGGAAUCUACCCGAUACCGACAUUAAACGGGGCUUAUGGUCGUACCCGAUUAAAUGGUGGUAAUUUGACUUGUUUGUAACUAAAACUUUUUAAGGGAAUGUUGAGGUUGUUUCACGUGUUUCUAAUUUGUUCUGACCCUUAUGAAGUCAUAUUAAAAGUUCUAAUUUAAUUUGCCUGAUCCCAAAUGUUAACAGAAAAGUUUAAUAAGAACGAGUUCUAUUAACGGAAACGGGUUACGGUGACAGAAUAAAUUUCAGGUUGUCACAUCAUCCCCCCCGUUAGAGGAAAUUUCUUCCCGAAAUUUAGAAUUCAACUAGCUAAGUUAUUACAAUACAUCUAAGCAAAGAGAUGAUGAUAUUUGAGUCUCAUUUGGUCCUCGCGCUCCCAAGUGAAAUCCGGUCCUCGUUUGGCGUUCCAUCGAACCUUCACAAUUGGGAUGCGGCUUAGUUUCGUUCAUUUGACGUCCCGAUCCAUAAUUUCCACAGGUUCUUCCACGAUGUUGAGGCUCUCGUUAAUCUCGAUCUCGUCUAGUGGGAUUACGAGGGUCUCGUCGGAUAGGCACUUUUUCAAGUUUGAGACGUGGAAGGUAGAAUGUAUGUUACUGAGUUCGUGGGGUAGAUUAAGUUUGUAAGCCACGGGGCCGAUUCUAGCGAGAAUCUUGAAAGGCCCUAUGUAUCUUGGAUUCAGUUUUCCAUGCUUUCCAAAGCGUGUCGUGCCCUUCCAGGGAGAGACUUUCAAAAGGACUCGGUCUCCCACCUGGAAUUCCAAGGGUUUUCUUCAUUUGUCUGCGUAGCUUUUCUGUCGAUCUCUAGCGGCUUUUAGUCGUUCGCAUAUCUGUAUGAUCUUCUCGGUCGGUUCUCGAAUGAUCUUCGGACCCAUGAGAGCGCUGUCAGGAACGCGUCCUUUAGCUAACUGAGUGUCACCCACCUCAGCCCAGCAUAGAGGGGAUCUGCACCUCCGGCUGUAGAGGGCUUCGAAUGGAGCUGCCUUGAUGCUCGUGUGAUGACUGUUGUUGUAGGAAAGGUCGACAAGGGGUAAGUGGGUAUCCCAUGCCUUACCAAAUUCGAUCACAUAGGAUCGCAACAUAUCUUCCAGGGUUUGGAUAGUCCUCUCACUUUGUCCGUCGGUCUACGGAUGGUAGGCUGUACUCAUGUCCAACCUCGUCCCUAAUGCGUUUUGCAGUGAUUACCAGAACCUCGAAGUAAACCUACUAUCUCUAUCGGAGAUGAUAGACAUAGGGACACCAUGCAGUCGUACGAUCUCCUUAAUGUAUGUUCUCGUGAGUUUCUCCAUCUUGUCUGUUUCCUUGAUGAGCAGGAAGUGUGCGGACUUGGUCAAUCUGUCGACGAUGACCCAUAUGGUAUCAAGCCCACCCGCUGUGGUAGGUAGCUUAGUUAUGAAAUCCAUAGUGAUCCGCUCCCACUUCCACUCCGGUAUCUCCGAGUGCUGUAGAAGACCUGAUGGCUUCUGGUAUUCGACCUUGACCUUUGCGCAAGUAAGGCAUUUACUUAAGAAGGUAGCAAUCUCUGCUUUCAUGUUAGGCCACCAGUAUGACUUUUUAAGAUCUAGAUACAUCUUAUCUGAUCCUGGGUCAACGGAGUAUCGAGUGUUAUGGGCUUCCUUCAUGACCAAGUCUUUGAAGCCACCGUGUCGCAGUGUCUAGAUUUGGUCCAUGAGAUAUAAGGCUCUGUCACCCUUGACUUCCAAGUUCUUUACCAUUCCUCGCAGGGAUUCUCCCGCCACAUUUUCAGGCUUUAACGCUUCGAGUUGAGCUUCCUUAAUCUGUGCGGAGAGAUGCGAAUGGAUGGUCAUUGUUAGCGACUUGACUCUUCGACCAGAAUGUUCUUUCCAGCUUAGGGCGUCUGCUACUACAUUGGCUUUACCCGGAUGAUAAUGAAUUUCGCAUUUGUAAUCAUUGAGUAGCUCGACGCACCGUCGUUGUCUCAUAUUGAGCUCUUUCUGGUUGAAUAUGUGUUGUAGGAUUUUGUGGUCGGUGUAUAUCGUGCUCUUCAUACCGUACAGGUAAUUGAUGGGUUUUAGCAAAAGAACAUCCUAUAUGCUCAUGCAAACCCUAAUGCUUGGAUCUAGGUUUCUCUAUUGUACAUGCAAUGUAUCAAAGACUUACAAUCUUAGAUCUAACAUAUUAUAAACUGAAAUUAGGGUUUAGAGAAUUACCUUUGAUUGUUAUGUAUCAAUAACAAUCUCAAAUCCUCCUUGUAAUGGCUUUAGAAAGUUUAGAGUCACAAUUGUCACUCCUCUAAUGGCUUACAAACACCAAGAGCAAGAGGAUGAAGAAUAAGGAGAGAGGAGGCUGACCAAAACGUCCAGAAAACCCUUGUGGAACUCUUAGCCACACAUUUUGAGGCUUAAGGGUACUAUAUAUACAUGUAGGCUAUUAGGGUUUUCAACUAGGAAACCCUAAUUUGAUUGCUUAAGCCCUAAGCAGCCCAUGGACCCUAUUAGAAUGUCCCUUGGACGAUUUCUAAUGGUUUCCCCAUAGAAUUCGUCCAACCUAUUACUCCAAGGUGAUCCAUAGCCCAAAUGCAAUUAUCUUAUAAUUACAGUUCCAGUCCCUUAAGUUUAAUUAAUAUCUUUUAGCCACAAAAUUAAUUAUCAAUUAAUUCUUAACUAAUAUUAAUUAAACAAUAUGAUUUCUCCUUUAAUAUAUUAUUCUCAUAAUAUAUUAAUAAAUCAUAAUUAAUCCUUUCUCUCCAUAAUUCAUCCUAUCAAGUUGCUUUGGUAAAGGCAACCCAAAAGGACCAUGCACCAUCGGGUCAAGUACAUACCAAAAUAGUUAUGGACUUAGACACUAAUCCAACAGUCUCCCACUUGGAUAAGUCUAAUAACUAUUCUGCGUAUGACUUCAGAUCCUGAUCUUCAAUCGUAGCUUUCCAAAGCCGCUGUCAACUCUGAUCCUAUCAGAUACGCGUGUCCUUAGAUAAGGGAUCAUAUAUUCCUCCAUUCUAGAUAUCAUAUGAGAUAUGAUUUCAAAUCAUUCUCUUUGUACUAUAUCUCGAUUCCCGAUUUAUGACGACUGACUAAUUGAACAAAUCAAAUUAGCCCUAGCCCGGCCGAGCAUUUACGUUUGUCAUCACUAAAUCAUCGAGGGGCCCAAAGAUAUCGCUUUUAUCCUACUUUGGAUAAAAGGAACGGAUAAACUUUGAUACAAUGCUUGCUUGCACUCACUCACCGAAUCACACACAACAAUAUGUUUUAUAACACCAAGUUACUAGUGCGUUUACAUAUUAUCAAUGUGCAACCGAUUUGCAAGAUACAACUCACACAUCUCGGUUUCAAGAAUAUAAGAUAUUAUCAUCUCACUAGUCGCUCGUGAUAAAAUCCAUGAAGUGAUCCAAGUGAUUCUGGGUUUAUCCAAUGCUUCAAAUCAUAUUCAUAAGCACUCAUGAACGUUGCAGCAAACAUUUGCUUAUGUCUAAUACACUUUAGACAAUCCACACACCAAUUCACGACAGUCUUCAUUCAUACCUACUUCCAACAUAUGAACGACUGUGGUCCGUUCGAAUAAUUUGAUUGUUCUGAACCAAUUUAAUUAUUCAGGAAGUCAAAACAUGCAAAGUGAAACACAAGAAUAAUACUAAUCACAUAUGGCCCCAAACUCUGGGUAUAAAAAAACAUUUUAUUUAAUCACCAUAUUGAUUACUCAUUAUUUGUUGUUUCGGGUAAUCAACUUCUUACUAGAAUUAAUACUACACUUGUCCCAUGCUCUCAGCAUGCACACAAUGCUUACUUAUGGUCCUUACUUUGUGAAAUAGAUCAAAUGAACACAUUUCCAAUCAUACUCAUUUCACAACUCCCAAUCCUUAUCAUAAGUAUAAGAAUAUCAAAUUCUUGUUACUUAUGCUAGAUUCUAACAUUUUAUGCAAUGAUUCUUUCGUAAAGUCAUAGCUCAAAAUCAUCAAGACUUGGCCAAUCUCUAUCAGAAACAAUUCUAUAGAUAUGAUGUCUCUCACUCAAAGUACAUUCCUUUGAACAUCCUUCUUGCAUAAAAGUUUCUAAUCUAGACAUAGAUUCUCAAUAUCCAACUCCUAAUAUGGAAACAUUUCCAUAUUUUCCAUAUGACAAUUCAUUCUUAAUAGAAUCUUAUAUAUUCAUAAUAAUGUCAUCCAAUACCAUACUUCCAACUACUUACAAGCGACCAAUCCUUAGCGAGCUUUGGAUCGUCCUUUUAUACUUCNUGUUUAAUUAUUUUAGUCAAAACCGAUUAUAGUCCUUUCUCCCUCUAAAUGCACUAGACAUUUGGAAAAUUUUAGAAUUGUCAAAUAUAAUAGCACUGGCAAUCAAUCCUAUACCCGGAGCGUAUAGGACACGAUGCAUAAUGUCUUACAUAAAGAUAUGAUACUUUAUCAAUCUUCUGCCAUAAUAUUUUAUGUGUCUCGUUCUUACAAUUCAAACUAUUAAGAGGGAUACCGUAAUCAUAAUCAAAAUUUAAGAACACAUUAUGUAUCCUUUGACUAAUUAUAUUAAGAUUUCUCAAUCUAAGCUUUAGAUUUUGAAACGAAGUACAAUAUUCUCUCCCUUAAUUAUAGCAAAACAAUUUUUCAACCGUUACGACUUUGCAAAGUAUAAGUCUUGUUUUCUAUAAUUAAUAUUGCUAACUUGCAAUACUUGACUUAAUAAUCAUACAAGCACAACAUUUAUGCUCCCACUAUCAUGAUGAUUAUUAUCAUAUAAGCAUAACACUUAUGCUCCCACUAGCUUUGACAUGUUUUAGAAAACAACUGAACUUCCAGAAAACAAUACUUAUUGAAUUUCUGAAGUUCAUAUUUCUAAUACCUAAUGCUUUGAUAAUCCUUUAUCUAAGCUUCUUAAACUUAUACACCUUUGCCUUAGAUAGCUCAUAUGUGUGUCUAAACAAUUCAGACUAAUUGCCAAAUCUCACAAUUCGAAUUAUGGAAAGGGAUACCGUAACCAUAAUCGAAUUUGAGAAUACAAUUUUCACAAUCACUAUCUUCUUAAAAUCUCUCUUAGUGAAAGUAUUUCCUCACAGUCAUUUUCAUGAAGGAGAGAAUCUUAUGAUACUUAGAUUUUAAUGGUGUAUGUGUUCCUAUCCAUGCGAAUUUGUCAAAACCAAGGUUUGCGACAAAUCCAAACUCAUAUGGACGGAACUUUCUCAAUCUUGAUUUCUUCCCUUAUGGUAACACGAGUUCCCACCAUGUCUUCUAAGUAGUUAAGCAGCUCACCCUUUCCUAUCAAUGUACUUUCAUUGAUCAAGGUGCUUGCCUUUUACGUGUUCAAAUGAGAACUCAUAGACCUCACAUGCAUAAUUAACUCAAUUGGAAUGACAUAGAAAAAAAAUAGUGUCAACACGAUGGGUUGUAAACCUCAAGUCGUGUGCUAGCGAUGAUCGAUAAGGUUUAUUCUUGAUUUGCUCUUGAAACCUUUCAAGACCAUUGAGACUCCCAAUGACUCCUAGACAUAUAAGAUUCUCUUGUCAAGAAACAUUCCUUGACAAAACAAAUAUUCAAGAGUUAGUGUAGUUCUUAUCAAAACACUUCACAUAAUUGAUCCUAGUUGGUCUUUGUCUUAUCCAAAACAUCACAACUUUUCAAUUUUAAAUGUACAAGAAUAAGAAAACCUUUUCAAAUUCCACAUUUGAUGAAUGUUAUAAACCUUCUUAAGACUUGUCACUCAAUUCACAAUCUUAACUCUAAGACUUGUUUUUGGAACGAGGUAUGAUUGACUUCUUGAUUUAACCAUUUCUUCAAUUCUUGAUUCCUCUUCUCAGACAUACAAUUGCACUAAGACUCAUUUUUAGAGGAUCAAUUGAGAUAUGAUUCUUAGUCAUUAAGACCUAUCAUAAAACAUAAUAAAAGGUACUCUCCCUUCUUCUUAGAAUAGAUAAACUUUUAUCUUUCUGCCUAUUGGAUUCUUCUUUAUUCGUUCUGCUAUUUGUUGAAACUCUUUCAAUCAACUGAGAAUUACACUUAAUAUCAUAAGUAUAAUCAACUUAACCUUNUGUUACUCUUGUGGUGGACUUGAUCAACACACAACCUUGUGUACUCGAUCUCCUAGUCCUUCACUUGACACUUUGUCAACAAAUUAGUCUAAUUUCCAAAUAUGAAAUUUCUCAUACAUCAUGCAACCAGGUUGUAUGAAUCCAAGUUUCUGUCCAAUUGAAACUUGGGCGAUGAGAAACUUUUCCUAUUUGGUAAAUUCUUGACUUUUCCAUAACAUAAUUAAGAAUCAAAUCCAUUAUUUCUAAUAAUAGAAACCUUCAAACAUCAAUUUUUAUACACGCCAUUGCAAGGAUAAAUAAAUAAUAUAAAAUCAAAAUUUAUUUUAUUGCGGAAAAUUUGUCCUUACAAUGCAAUUCAAUUGAAAAACUAUGUUAAUACAUAUUUCUUAGAAAUAUUAUUCUAACUCCAAGUAGUAUCUCAAGAUUCUAAUCUUCAAGUAACGCGAUCGAAAUCCAUUUCUUCACGAUUAGAUUCCGCUCACUACUUCCUUUAAGCUUCCUCUCUUUUCUUCGAUCCUACAAAACAUCGAAAUGUAAUCUUAUCACAUCAUGUAUUAAGAAUCUAGAAUAGGAACUUAAAAGAGUUAGUUAAUGGAUUUUACCUAAAGUAGAGUCAUACGUUUUGACUCUCCCAUCUCUUAGAUCUCUUAGGUAAAUAGGGCAGCUUCGUCUCCAAUGCUCAUUCUCUCGGCAAUAAAAGCAAAUUGACUCUUUUGGAACAGCACAUGGAACUACUUCUGACUUUGCCUUUCUCUUAUGAUCAAACUUUUCGAUCAUGGCAUGCCUUUCGUUUCCAUUGCCUAUAUCCAUAGAGGUUUGGAAGGCAGAUCCACCAAUCAACUUUUCUUUUCCAGUCCGCCAAAUCAUUGCUGAUUCAGCAGCAAUAAGCAUAUAGGUGAGAUUAAUGAGGGUUACGUCGUGGUUCAUCAUAUAAUACUCUCUUAUGAACUCACUAUAUGAGUCAGGAAGUGACUGAAGAACCCAACCACCAGCCAGCUCCUCACAGACAAAAGAUCCUAACAUUCUUAACCUAUCAAUGUGUGACUUCAUCUCUAGGACGUAUGCACACACUAACUUUCCUUCUACAUGUUUACUUGCCAAAAAGAGCUUGAGUGAGUUUGAACUUUUCAAUCUUUUGAACUUGUGGGUUAGGGAGAAUAAUAGGAGGAGGUGGAGGAAGUGAAGCAUGAUCUCGUGUUCCUCGAUCAAAUCAUGGAAUAUCAUCUUAAUGUGGAAGGCUUGUUCCACGGGAUUUGGGAAGACCAUAGUUGGCAUACUUUGACAUCUACAAAACGGGAGAAAAUUCAAGUUAGUUGAUUGAUUGAGUCCUUAAUAAAUCACCCAAAUGAGAUAUUAAGACUAGGAUCCAACACAAUACUCUACAACCUAGAAAAGGUAUGUCGUAAUCUAGUUGCAAAACAUUUGAAGGUAAGUGAAUGAUGAUUCACUAAUUUCCACCAUGAAAAACGAAAAAGAAAUUUAAGUUUUAAAUCUAUGGAAAAUCCUAGAUCCUUUGAGAUUCAUUGAACAUUUCAAUGGCAUGUUUAAAUCUCGAUAUGCCCCUCUUGUUUGUGACUGGGAUGCCGAGGAUCACAAAGCGGGUGUGAAUAACCAUGCAAACUUACAUGGUGCCCUCACAUGUUACAGUCACCUAUUCGAUGUGCCGGUAAACCACACACGCUCCACCGAACUAUGACAAACAUUGAGUCACCCUUUGCUACCUUUGCUUAGAACCAUUUAGUGUGCCGGUUAACCACACACGCUGCUCUAACGUGUUCGCAAGGGCACAAAGUGUAAUUUCAUGGAAUCGCAUCAAUUCACUUUUGCCUAAAGUAACUAAGAUUGGGAAUUUGUAAAAGCAUUUAGUUACUUUUGUACUUCAUUAUGCUUAUAAUGAAAGCUUUCUGUCCUAUCCUACCUGUUUGGCUAAUGACCCUCCACUAGUCAAGAGUGUGGUGGGUAAGAGUGGAUACCCGUUAAAUGGCCAUUUUAUAGGCAAUUUCCUUAAACACCCCUUAUAGACCAGCUUCGUGAAUGAGGCCUACUAACGGUAAGACUGACUUUUACUCAUACAUAUAUAUUAGACUUUUAAUGUUAUAUAUAGUAUAGGGUGUAUUUUACACUUUUAAAAUACUAGGUGGUCAAAUUUAAUAAUUAUACACUUUAAUUAAUUAAUAAAACCAUAAGGGUGUGAUUUGAACUUUUCAAAACAGUACUAGGGUUUUAGAAUUUAACAUUUUUAAAUUAAACUUUUAAUCAACUUUUAAAUUCCAAAACUUGAGGGCAAGUUUUGAAACAUUUCAAAACAUUAGGGUUUCAACUAUUUAAAUUUCCAAACAAAAACUUUAAGUUCAAAUUUAAACCAUAAAACUUACAUGGGCACAAAUGAAACUUUUUCACAACACAAGGAUCAAAUAACAAAUAAUAGAAAUUAAACAAUUAAUUUUGUCAUUAUCUAUAUUUGACCUAAUUUCAAUUUCGUGCAAGAUAAGUUACCUAAUUAAUACAAAUAAUCAAUCUUUAAUCAUAUAAUGAAGUUAUUAUCUAAUCAAUUGGUAAUUAUCUUGUGUUUUGGCAAGGAUAGUCUUUUAGAAACAUUAAAAAUCGUAUUUUAUAAGUUUAAAAUGAAUAUGGUAAUUAUCCUUAAACAAAACAGCAAUAAAAUCCGAAAUUCCCUCUGUCUGACGCUCCGACUCGCCGAGUCACACAUUGGAACUCGUCGAGUAGGGCAGACUCGCCAAGUCAGUUCGAACAGAAGGCCAGAAUUCGAUUUUCAGUUAAUAAUUCAACAUAGCAUCACAUACAACAGAAACCAAUCAAGUCUCUGAUACCACUGAUGGGUUUUAGCAAAAUGAACAUCCUGUGUGCUCAUGCAAACCCUAACGCUUGGAUCUUGAUUUCUCUAUUGUACAUGCAAUGUAUCCAAGACUUACAAUCUUAGAUCUAACAUAUUAUAAACUGAAAUUAGGUUUUAGAGAAUUACCUUUGAUUGUUAUGUAUCAAUAACAAUCUCAAAUCCUCCUUGUAAUGGCUAUAGAAAGCAUAGAGUCACAAUUGCCACUCCUCUAAUGGCUCACAAACACCAAGAGCAAGAGGAUGAAGAAUAAGGAGAGAGGAGGCUGCCCAAAAUGUCCAGAAAACCCUAGUGGAACUCUUAGCCACACAUUUUGGGGCUUAAGGGUACUAUAUAUACAUGUAGGCUAUUAGGGGUUUCAACUAGGAAACCCUAAUUUGACUGCUUAAGCCCUAAGCAGCCCAUGGACCCUUUUAGAAUAUCCCUUGGAUGAUUUCUAAUGGGUUUCCCCAUAGAAUUCGUCCAACCUAUUAUUCCAAGGUGAUCCAUAGCCCAAAUGCAAUUAUCUUAUAAUUACAGUUCCAGUNAGUUUAAUUAAUCUCUUUUAGUCACAAAAUUAAUUACCAAUUAAUUCUUGACUAAUAUUAAUUAAACAAUAUGAUUUCUCCUUUAAUAUAUUAUUCUCAUAAUAUAUUAAUAAAUCAUAUUUAAUCUUUUCUCUCCAUAAUUCAUCCUAUCAAGUUGCUUUGGUGAAGGCAACCCAAAAGGACCAUGCACCAUCGGGUCAAGUACAUACCAAAAUAGUUAUGGACUUAGACACUAAUCCAACAGUAAUGUAUCCAGAUCUUUAGGGCGAACACAACCGCUCCUAAUUCGAGGUCGUGUGUGAUGUAGUUGGCCUCAUGUGUCUUCAGCUGUCUUGAGGCGUAGGCGAUGACCUUACCUCGUUGCAUCAGAACACAACCAAGCCCCUGAUUUGAUGCAUCGCAGUAUGCCACGAAAUCUUCUGUCCCUUUGAGGAGCGAUAGGUUUGGUGCGGUGCAUAAGGCUCGUUUCAGGGUUUGGAAUGCCUUCUCCUGCUUCUCUCCCUAGUCAAAUGUCAUGCCUUUCUGAGUCAAUGUGGUGAGGGGUUUCGCAAUCCGAGAGAAGUUCUAAAUGAAUCUGCGGUAGUAGCCAGCAAGGCCUAGAAAUUGGUGAAUUUCUAUAGGUGUCUUCGGUGCUGACCAGUUUUCAAUGGCUUUGAUUUUUGAUGGGUCCACGUGGAUUCCCUCUUCGCUAACCACGUGUCCUAAGAAUUCGACUCUUCGGAUCCAGAAUUCGCACUUCGAGAAUUUCGCAUAUAGCUUCUCUGAUCGUAGGGUUUCUAGGACUUAUCAUAGGUGAUCGCUAUGCUCCUCCUUACUUCGAGAGUAGAUGAGUACGAAGAUGAUGAUGAACUGGUCCAAGUAAGGACGGCACACCCUAUUCAUUAAAUCCAUGAAUACUGCGGGCACGUUGGUCAGUCCGAAUGACAUUACUACGAACUCGUAAUGUCCGUAACGAGUUCGGAAGGCUGUUUUCGGAACAUCCUCCUCAAGCACUCGUAACUGGUGAUACCCGGACCUAAGAUCAAUCUUGGAAAAGUAACUCGCCCCUUGCAGUUGGUCGAAUAGGUCGUCUAUACGGGGAAGAGGGUAGCGAUUCUUGACCGUUAGCUUGUUGAGUUCUCUAUAAUCGAUGCACAUGCGGAACGAUCGGUCCUUCUUCUUCACGAACAAGACCGNUGAAGCUUCUUUCUGCUCCACUAUCGAAUAAGACACAAGCAUAAGAGUUGUUGAGAAGGAACGUACCCAUGACUACUGUGGGGUCCGCUACUGCUUCAUUGUGGCCAAUAGCGAGUAGUCUUCCUGUUCCUUCUAUAUUCCCGGCUUUCAGGCAGUUUUUCUGGAAAUGACCUACUUCACCGCAGCCAUAGCAGGCCUAGCUCACUCACGAGCUGGGGACUUGAGAGAUAGGUUUGGGUUGGGAUCUGCAAAACCGGACGGUAUGGCCCUUCCAGUCGCAGUUAGUGCAGUGCAAUUCACGGCAGGGGCCGUUGUGAUGGAAGGGGCACUUGGGGAACUUGGGUAAGUUUCCAGUAUAGGAUUUGGCUAGUACAGGGGUAGGAGGAGUGGUGGCAGCAUGGACGGCCACCAUCUGUUUGUUUUUGGAGGAGGAUUGAGUUUUCUUUCCCUUCUUCUGAUCCCAACGCUUCCUCUUGUUGUCUGUUGAUUUGGGUGGUGCAGUGGAAAUCGCCGUAUUGUUGAUGGGGUGGAGGGAGUUUCAUGAUCAAUUAACCUCUGGGCCAAUUCCUUGGUGCUAUCAAAGGUCGUAGGGCGUGAUGCUAACACGUUCCCUCGAUACGGGGGCACCAAACCCCAGAUGUAUCGUUCUAUCUUCUUGCUUUCAGAAGGGAUCAUGUUAGGACACAUAGCUACCAGGUCGCAGAACCUAGCAGUAUAAGCUAUUAUGUCGGUUCCCUUCAUCUUGAGGUUCCAAAGUUCUUCUUCGAGUUUCUGAACUUCGCCCCUAGGGCAGUACUCAUUCAUCAGUAGGUCCUUCAGUGUGUCCCAGCCCAUGAUGUUGGCUGUUACCAAGGAGAGUGAUUUCACAUGGCCAUUCCACUAUGUCAAGGCCCUUUCAGUGAAAGUGGCAGCAACAAACUUUAUGUUGCUUUCUUCGGGGCAUGAGCACAUUUCGAAGACAACUUCAGUCCUUUCAAUCCAUUGGAACAAAGCAAGGAUUCCUCCGGUCCCAUUGAAAAAUGUCGGUUUGCAGUUCAUGAAAUCUUUAUAAGUACACCCCUGUGUACUUGAGGGAAUUUCGACAUGUCUGGAGUUGAUGCCCAUUCCAGCUCCACUGGCAUCACCGAAAUUCAUUUGAGCCAUUGCGGCUGUUACAGCUGUAGUUACAGCUGUUUGAAACAUCACAGGAUCGAACUGUGGGGGAGAAGGUGGUGGAGGUGGAGUCUGAGUUGCAGGUCUGCCUCUGUUCGGACGCUUGCGGGGAAGCAUCUUUUACUGGAAAUUUAUAAAGAUGAAGAUAAUAGUAAGAAUCGAUUGUAAAUAAGUUGUGAGAGUUUCACAGACCAAGCUGACAUAGUUUAGUUAUCAAAUAGAAUCAUAGCAAUAGAGUAGAAAAACACAAAACUUCAGACUUUCUCACAAAGUGUGUAGCUGCCAAUAUUACUGGUAUUAAUGAUGUAAAAUGAAUUCGGGAAAAGCGACCUAACAGUAGGUCGUACAUUAAACCAUAAGGGAAAAUGUUGGCAGCCUAGAGGCCUAAUUAGAGUACUUUCAAAGUUAGGAACAUUUACAGACAAGUGCUCUACCGAGCAUAGAAAGAGAAAGGCUAUUCGUUAAACAAAAGGGAAAGAUAAGUAGAUAUCUUUUACUAGCGACGGGUACUCAUUGAGCGAACCCUACGAUCAGCCAGUUGGCAUACAACUUCCUGAAGAUGUCUCUCCUGAACCCUCUGACGCGCUCAGAGUUCUCUAACUUCGGCUCGGGAUGCAGCUAGCUGUUGCUGCAGAGCCUCAUUGGUCCCCCUAGUCCUAUUCAUUGCUUCUUCCAGUUGGCGGAUAUGGAUAGUGUUAAGGCUGGAGUUGGCAUCAAUUUCCAUAACUCUGCCAAUGGCUACUUGACCUUGUUCGGUGUUCCUGGCAAUCCUACGGAUGAUGAUGGGCAAGACUCGGUCCGCUGAUCCUCCUUCGCUUAUGUUGUAGAAGCUUCGGUCUCCGUUGAAAGGUAAAGGCUGACCCUGCUCAUCGCUCCAUCGGUUCAAGGUGAUUGCCCACAUGGGGGUGGGACCUUGAAAUUCCGGACGGGGAUUAGGGUUUGGAGCUACUGGGGGUAGGUUGUUGACUUCUGGUUCGGAGUCGGAGCUAUCCGAAAAGCCUUUAGCAUGGUGAUCAUCCAAAGGAAUCGGGUGAUCAUCCUCUAGCUCCUCAUCGAUCCAUCCCCCAUUGCCUUGGUUUGGAUAGUACGGAUCGCCGGGAAGGUGGAAGCCAGCCAUGCUAUCUACGCGAGAAUGGGGAAAGAAAGGUUAAUAGAUGUACUAAUCUAGGAUACUUAUAAGAUGAUCAUUAUUAGUCGACCCAAUACUUGCAUAGUGCAUACCAAUUACAUGUAACCGAAGAAAGAUAGACCUUCGAAUAAGUGACCCUAACUCUAAAUCCACAAUCAAACAAGAACAGGAAAUGAAGCAAAGGUCACAGAUUCUAAGUGUAUAGCGCCCUAGUCACAUGUAAUCGUGGUGUAUCCACUUAGCAACUAUUGCCUACUAGUAACGACCCUUUUUGUCAUCACAUAUGUAGUUAGUAGAAUGCAGAAUACUCCUACAGUAUUCUUAUUCUAACGUUCUUGUGGUAGUGUUGGUAAGUUUUUAGACUUGUUGCAACACCACAAUCACUCUUAGGCACAUGCUAGUCACUCCUAGAAAAAUGUAGUUGAUCAGGCUACAUCCACCCAGAUGUGACUAUAUGUCUCUAAGCCUAAUUGUAUUGUUCAACAAUCUUAAUACUUUUGUUAUGUUCUAGUAUGAUACUGACCCUUUGUAUUUAUGAAUGUAUAUAUAUACUUAAUUAAAUACAUUAGUAUUUAAGAGUAUAUAUUCUUGGUCAGAGUGUUUUAGUCCUGAAGUGUUUAUAGUUCGUAUAUCUUUUAUGGGUUGAUAUACUUGAUUCACUAUAAACAAUGCUCUGAUACCAAUCUGUCACACCCCAAAACCAAGAACGGCGGAAUACGUUCAAGGGUGGAGGACGUCAUGUACAAUAUCAUAACAAUUGCAUAAUAGUAAAAACAAGCGACAACACGCAUUGCAUCAAUAUAGUAAUUGUAAAUACAAGCGUGUUCUGUACAGUUUGAUAGACACCAAAAGUAUAAACAAAAGUAAAAGAUGUGUCUUGUAUAUGCUCCAUCUUCUUAAAAGCUGCACCAGUACCUGUCUAUUUUUGACCUGAGAAUACAAGUUAUUUUAAAAACGAGUAUCAGCAUAAAGCUGGUGAGUUCAUAAGAAUUUAGUGUCGUUGCUUGUAUAAAAGUGUUUACAAUCAUGUAAUAUAAAAGCUGUGAUUAAUGUUUGAGAAUAGUAAAAAUCCCUAGAAAAUCCUAUAUUUUCUAGAUUUGAGCAUUUGUAAGUUUGAUCCUUUGAGUGUGUAAAAUUUUUCCCAUUGAAAUUUUCAGUUAUAAAAAUAAGGUAAUAGAUUUCAUUCACGUAAAGUAGAUGAGGAAAGAUGAUAUCUUAUUCCAGUAGUUUUACUGCCGGCUGGCUGUAGUAGUGUUACAAACUUCAAUUAGUAAUAUAUAUAUAUAUACUUCCGGAAGUNCGGGAAGUUAGCUUAGCCUUUAAUUCUUAGUGUGUUAAUUUGGGUAUGGAUGUGAUCUCUCAUGUAACCAAACUAAGUGAUAAUAGAGAGUCCGAUGACCUUCCUGGUCAUACGUAGUGUAGCGAUGUUUUGUCACCCCUGGGCCUAGUCGGCUCGGACUGUAGUUAGCAGUCGGGAUGUAAUAGUGUCCGUCCUGUAUAGAUCUAUACAUGUAGUGUUGCUUUCCUUCCGGGAAGCUCUGAUUACAUGGUAUUCGCACAGUAGAGUGCCGUAUAGAGGAAUAGUGUGUCGCAUUCUGGAUUAGUGUAUUCACUUGUAUUAUAGUAUAAUUAACUUUAUAGUAUAGUAUAUAGAGUGUUCUCUUUAACAUGUAUUAACUUGUAAUGGUAGUAAUUAUAGUGAGCGUCAUAGUGAUAGGGGUAAUGAGCAGUAGUCUUAACUAUACCUAUUAUAGUUAAAUAGAGUGUGAGAUUGCAUGCCUUCGGUUUACAAAGGUAUUGAAUAAGGUGAAGACUUUCAUAUCCAACACAAAUAUAUAUGAUAUAUAACUAAGAAUUCAACGACAGUCGGACAGAUAACAGUAUACCCUAAGACCACAAUCAAACAAGAACAGGAAGUAAAGCGAGCUAUCAGUCCUAUGUCCUUCAAGUCUUACUUAUAUAAAUAUAUUGGUGUAGAUAUAGUUUAAAAGAAAAGUAGUUUAAAAACAGUUUGAAAAUAGUUUAAUAAAAAUUUAACAUGGAAAAAUGCGUUUGAUAAUUAUUUAAAACAGUUUUGUUGACAUGUAGCUAAAAGUAUAGAAAAUCCUUUUUCAUUGCAAGUUAUAAAUCACGUGUGAUUUGAUACUAUAACUUUUUGUAUUUAACUUGUAUUGCCCCCCCCCCCCAUAAAACNNNNNNNNNNNCAUUUGAAAGGUUAAUUAAGGGGUAUGAACUCACUUGUAGCGAGUGGAUCGGGUGGAAGUGUCGGUUGAGUGCUUGGUGUCAAGUGAAGACUUGAACACACUUUAUGUGACAACCCGAAAUUUUCAUUCAGUCAAACCCUAAAAGUCAAUCACUUCAUAUUAUAAGUCAAGUUCACUUUUACUUGUUUUUGGGAAAAAUAAGUUCUUUUGAUUAUUUUAAUAAUUAAUCUUUAAACGAACGGGUGAACGGAUGGGCCGUCUCGGGUCUCGAAAUUUCUAAACCGCAAACACCUCGUGUCUUAGAAGUUCACGACCAAACUUUUAUGUUUGGGUCGAAAAAUCAUCCAAAAACGUAAACUCAUGCCUUAAGCAUGAGUUUACUCCCCAAACUAGUCAUUCUUGUGUUUACUCCCCAUUUACCAAAAGAGUAAACUCAAAAACUCUCUCAAGUAUCAUCCAAGUUUUGCUCAAUAUCUUCAAUCUAGUAAGUGUUUCUAGCCCUUUCAAGUUAGUAUAAUAUAUACUUAAUCUAGUGAUUGUAUAUCCUUUAAUGCAUCCAUUUUUGUGUUUUGAUCAGUUUUCCAAAAACACCAAGAACACACACUAAGUGUUCUUGGACUUUAAGUUCAUUUCAAGCUUCCACAAUGUAAGUACUUCUAUCCUAGAGUCAUUUAAAGCUUGCUAUACAUUUUUAUACCAAGGAAAAGUCCCAGGAACACCAAGAACAAGGUGUUCACGGUUUUGGGAGGCUCCCAAAACCAUAAACACCAAAUUUAGUGCCUUAGGGUGCUUUAGGGUGUCUAGAUGCUUCACAAUGCCUUAGGGACUUGUCUAGAUCCAUCCUUGAUGUGUAUAUCACAUAAAAGAACAAGAAAACAACCAUUUUUAUGUGUUUACGGUUUGGGGAUCUCCUAAAACCAUAAACACCCCAAAAGGUGUUUAAAUGUCCCAUAAAAGUCCCAUGGUUGUUCCUUAUGUCUAAAUCUAACCUAGACUAUUGCCAUGAUUGAGCUAAGGACUUCAAAACCCCCAAAUACCAAAGUUAUGGGUUUAAGGUAGUAAACUCAUGAUUUUAAGGUAGUAAACUCAUGAGUUUAAGGUAGUAAACUCAUGGAGAAAUGGUCCUUAGACCAUAAACUCCAUUUAGGAGUGUUUUGAUGCGACACAACACUUCCUAAGGCUUAAACAUGAAGUAGGAAUGUUUGGAAUAGCUUAGAAGACUUCAAAACAAAAAAUUGUCAAAAUGUUAGGAGUUUACGACCGUAAACUCAAGAGUUUACGACCGUAAACUCAAGAUUUUACGACCGUAAACUCNGUAAACUCCUUGGGUAAUGGUCAUGAAAACCGUAAACUCCAAGGGAGUUUACCCUUGAACCCCAAACACACUAGCCUUUCCCUACAACACUUAGAUGCACUCUUUAGCCCUUAUAAUACUUAUACAAAGUGUUUGUCAUGCCCUAGAGUGUCUUUACUUUUUAUUAAUUGGUUAAAGACUAUUUGUUUNCCGAAGGUCGAUUUUAUUCCCGAGAUUCCCGAGAAUCCCGAGAAAAAUCCAUUUCCCGAGACGAAACUCUGCCCGGUUUUCCAUCUCGCUAUCUUCAGACUUUCAUGUGAGUUCAUACCCCUUAACUAAUGUUUUAAACUAUUUUAAAUGUUUUAUGGGGGGGGAUACGAGUAGAAUCAUGCUAGUUAUUAUAUCAAUCACAUGUGAUUAAUAAGCAGCAUUCAAAUAAUUUUUUACUCAUUAGCCGUUUUACCAAACAGUUUCCUUCAAAUGUUGUUCAUAAACACUUAAUAUGUUUAAAACUUCGUAUUAAACUGUACAUUUUACUCUGUAUGUUUCAUUUCAAACUCAAUUACAAUUAUGUUUCAAACAAAUGUUUCUUUAUACUUAAACUGUUUUAUCAAACCCAUGCUUUCAAACCGUUUUAUAGAUUGACAUCAAGUCAAUCUUUACUUAGAUAAUAAAACUUAUUUUAUGCUUUUAUUUUAUCAAUUGCAUGCCUAUAUAUCUAUAGAUAUAUAAGAAAUGUUUAAAAGACUUAGGAAGGCUAUCCACCCUAUUUCCUUUUCGCACUUGAGAUGUGGUCUGGUGGGACAUCAGGUAUCUGUCCGAAGGUAGUUUAAAUAUUAGUUAUAUAUCAUAUGUACAUAUAUAGUCAUAAAGGUUUCCUAGUUCAUUCAAUACCCUUGGGUAGCAAGGGUAUACUUCCAUGUUCAUACGUGCCAGUUACAUUACUAGUAAGCUACCAUAUGGGUAUUUUAGGAAGAUACUAGAACUAUUACUAGAACACGAUAUCAUACAAUGAGUCAGUUCAUUCAUGAGUCAAUACUUGCCAGAUAGAGAGAGAGCACACGUCACAGCUAGUACACACAGUACAUUACUAUACAUUUACAUAGAUACAUCUACAUGAGUACAUUUACAUAGAUACAUCUACAUGAGUACAUUUACAUGAGUACACUUACAUGAGUACAUUUACAUAGAUAUAUCUACAUGGGUACAUUUACAUAGAUACAUCUACAUGAGUACAUUUACAUGAGUACACUUACAUGAGUACAUUUACAUAGAUACAUCUACAUGAGUACAUUUACAUGAGUACACUUACAUGAGUACAUUUACAUAGAUACAUCUACAUGAGUACAUUUACAUGAGUACACUUACAUGAGUACGUUUACAUAGAUAACAUAUGAUGAAUUAAUAGUACAUUUUAUAUGUAUAGAUUCUGUUAUAUAAUCCUCAUUCUUAUCUUCACUUUGUGAUAAAUCACAUAAUCGGCGAGAUAGAUUGGAUUUAAUAUCCUAGUACCAAAGGAUACUUUGCGGGAUUAACCAUUCCUAGAAUCUAUGUUAGCUACAAAGGUAAAAGCUCAUCCUCGGAUGUCAACGGUUGAUACCAUUACAGGUAUACUUUAAGGGACUAACUAUUCCUAUACCCAGCUGUUAGCAACAAAGGUAAAUGUAUAUCUACGGAUGUCUCCAAUUAACACUGUAAGCUACCCAAGUACCAAAGGGUAAUACUUAGGUUAUUUAUAUUAUUACCUCUAUCUUGUGACUCAUUCACAUAACCGAUGAGGUGAAUUAUUUGAGUAUCCUAGUAUCAAAGGAUACAGUUUCUUAUAAAAAUAAUAAUAGUAGCACAGUUGGGUCUUGGUAGAAGACUACAUUUAGAACAGUUGGGUCUUGGUAGAAGACUACAUUUAGAACAGUUAAGUCUUGGUAAAAGACUACAUUUAGAACAGUUAGGUCUUAGUAGAAGACUCCCUUUUAUAAUAGUAGGAAUCAUAGGGAUUUCUAGGAUUUUUCAAACGUUACAGUUGUUUUACAAACAUUUUCAUACUUACACGAACUUUCUUUCAAAACAUUUUCAAGUCUUUCAUUACAUGUCAAACAAAUAAUUACAUACAAAUUAAGACACAUUAAUACAUAUGACCUCACCAGCUUUAAAGCUAAUACUCUCUUUCAAAAUAACUUGUAUCCUCAGUAUCGAUGCAAGGUUUAGAGAAGAUGGAGCUCGUUCAAGACUCAUCUUUCAUUUUGAUUACACUUUAGUGUCUAUUAUAAUUUGACAGAACACUUGUAUUAAAAUUAUAUUAUUAAUGCAAUGGAUGAUGUUGUUGCUUGUUUACUACUUUUCAUUGUUGUGAUACUAUACAUGACGUCCUCCGCCCCAGAACGUUUCCGUCGUUCAUGUUUUUUGGGUGUGACACUAUAUUACCCUAGUAACAUAUGAAGACAUAUGUUUACAUAUAAUUAGUGAUUAAAACACUAAUUAAACACGUAUAGACAUCCUAAUGCGAAGAAAAACUCUUUGGUCAAGUGCUAGGAGGCUAUUGGGUUGCAAGGAAAGAUUGUAAGGCCUCACUAUGGAGUUUACUCCUCAGAUACUCACCUUAGGUGAGUUUGCGGUUGAGGGACCAAUUCCCCCAUGAGUUUACGGCCGUAAACUCAUGGGAGGAGUGUAUUUGAGUGCUUAAGGGUCUCUUACAUCACUUGGAAGGGUUCUAAGGUUAAAUCCCUGGCUUUAGGGGUGAUUAGGGUUCAAAAGGGGCACUCCCUGGGAGUUUGCGGUCCUUGGACCACUCCUUGGGAGUUUACGGUCAUAAACACUAUGGUUUACGGCCGUAAACCCUUAGACAUACCUUUUCCUUCGUUUUUGAGGUCCUUAGCUCACUCCUACAAGUUUCUAAGUUAAGGUCCAAGGCUAAAUAGGGGGUUUCAAUUUGCAUCAUUUGAGGGACUUUACGGCCUAAGAAUGCUCUUGGGCCGUAAACCCUCAUUCAAGCCUCCAAACUUAAUGUUUAAUGUCUAAAACACUUCAAGGGUAAGUUCUAAGUUAGUCUCUAAGCCUAAGGAAGGGAUUUAGGGGCAUUUUGGCACCGUUUUAGGGGUUUACGGCCUAAGAGGGUUCUUGGGCCGCAAACUCCUUGUUCUUGACCUUCAUGGAUGAUUUUCAUGCUAUAUAGACAUGUAAUGAGCUUUAGAACAAUCUAGGGUAAGAGAACUUACAGUUUGGGGGCGAAAACUUGUGGAUUUUUGGAAGAAUCGGGCCUUGAAGAGAGAGAGUAGAGAGAGUGACUAGAGUGGGAAAAGUUCCAUUUAGUUCCCACUCAACCCUUAUAUAGGGGUUGAGUUUAUGACCAGGUGGGAAUCUACCCGAUACCGACAUUAAACGGGGCUUAUGGUCGUACCCGAUUAAAUGGUGGUAAUUUGACUUGUUGGUAACUAAAACUUUUUAAGGGAAUAUUGAGGGUGUUUCACGUGUUUCUAAUUUGUUCCGACCCUUAUGAAGUCAUAAUAAAAGUUCUAAUUUAAUUUGCCUGAUCCCAAAUGUUAACGGAAAAGUUUAAUAAGAACGAUUUCUAUUAACAGAAACGGGUUACUGACGGAAUAAAUUUUAGGUUGUCACAGAUUACAAAUGGACUCGAAGAGUUGGCCAUUAAGUCGACAAGUUGGUCAGAAGUUUUGCGAUUCUUUACGCUGACUUGCCGUCCAUGGAUUUUAAGUGAUGGACUCGUCGAGUUGGUCACUGGAAUCGCCGAGUCGCCUCUGUUUUCAGAAUUUAUAUAUAGAAACGUUUUCCAUUCGAACCCUAAUGAACGGGGGAAGUUUAGGACGAUUUUUGGAGGCCAGAAGGGUCUUAGAAGUUGUGGUUUUCGAGAUUUCAACUUAGAUAUCAAUUUGGAAAAAGAUCAAAGGCAAUAACACAUUACUUUUAUCUUAAUCUUUUGCAUGAACCAUGUUUCAAUCAUUAGAUUAUGUUUUUAGUUUGUUAUUUGUUGUAAAUAUGAGCUAAAAACUCAUAACUUCUGUUUAGGGUGGAUGAUUUUAUGAAUAUGGUUUGAUUUUCUGAUUGGAUUAAUUUAAUUUGGUGGUUUUGUUUUGUUAAGCUUGUUAAAGAACCUUAUGUGUUAAUUAAAACUAUUUUCUGUUAAUUAACCAGUAAUUAAGUUGCAUUAACAUCUCUUAAUUGCUAAUCUCAUAUGAUUUAUGUGAAAACAUUGUUAUAUGCCUAGGAAUAGCGAGCGUGAAACUAGGGUUAACUAGAAAAUUGGUAAAUUAAUGUGUGAGCUUGUGUGACGGACCAUCAACAAGGAGUUAAUUGAAUUAACAUAUUUGCUUAGCUCAUUACAAGUCUUACUUAACCUGAAUCAAUAAACUAGGAAAUCUAUUAGUUUAAUCACUUGAUCACUACUUGAAUUAAUUUGGUUUCUAAGGAUUAGAAAUAGCGAACAUGAAUAUAAUCACAAUAAUCGGUAGCCAAAGCCAAUUAAUCCAUUGCACUUGCCAUAAAAUCAACCAUAGGAAUAAAUGAUUCAAACCUAAACAGAAGUCUCCUCCAUUAUUGAAUCUAGUUGUCUUUUGUUUCUCCUUAAUUGUUAAUUGUCCUUUGUUAAAUAGUUUAAGUAGUUGUUUCAGUUUCUAUUAUUGUAAAACUAGAGAAAAACCCUUCUUUUUACUUGUUUUAUUUAGAUGAUAUUAGUAAUAAUCUUAUUUGUUUACUGUUCCUUGUGUUCGAUACCCUACUUACCUGAACUAAGCUGCUAACCGAUAAGUACAUUGUCUUUCGUGUGUUUGUUUCUAUGUCUAAGUUAGUAUAGAGUUGUACUCCAAGAUUGUGCAUUGAGUGACACAUCUUUAGUAGGUUUAUAGCACUAAUCAAAUGUGGAAAAGAAAUGUUUCUUACUCUUGCACAUUUGAAAUUGGUAAGUUGUGAUGUCUUGGAUAAGACAAAGACUAACUAAGACCAAUUGUGUGAAGUGUUUGUCUUGAUAAGAACCUGCUCUAACUCUUGAAUAUUUUUUUGUCAAGGAAUGUUUCUUGACAAAAGAAUCUUAUAUGUCAAGAAGUCAGUGGGAGUCUUAAUGAUCUUGAAUAGCUUCAACAACUAAUCAAGAAUAAACCUAUUGUUUAUCACUAGCACAUGACUUGAGGUUUGUAAUCUAUCGUGUUGACAUAUUCUUGUUUCUGUGUCUAUUCCACUUAAAGUUGACUAUGCAUGUGAGUUCUAUGAGUUCUUAAUUUUUUGGAUAAGGAAAAUCACCUUGAUCAGUGAAAGUCCAUUGAUCAGUAAGGGUGAUCUGCUCAACAGCUUGGAAGACAUUGUAGGCCCUUGUACUGCUAAGUGGCAAUAAAUUAAGAUUGAACAAGUUCAGUCCAUAUGGGUUUGAUUUUGUCAUAUACCUUGUCUUAUGAUAAUGGUUGGAAAUGACAGUUUCACAUGGAUAGGAACACAUACACCAUAAAAUCUAAGUGACAAUGUUUCUUUCCGCUUCAUGAAAAUGAUUGUGAAGAAAUGCUUUCACUAAGAAGAUUUUAAGGAUAAGCAUUGUGUAAAUUGAAUUCUCAAAUUUGAUUAUGAUUACGACAUCCCUUUUCAUAGUUCGAAUUGUGAGAAAUGGAAAAUGGUUGAAGCAUUUGGGACUUAUUGCUAUAAAUUCUGAAAUAGUAUAGACACACAUAUGAGCUAUCUAAGGAGAGGUGUAUGAGUUUGAGAAGCUUAGAUAAAGUCUUAUCAAAGCAUCUUGUAUCAGACAUCUGAACUUUGGUAAGAUAGUCAAUAAGUAUUGAUUUCUAGAAGUCCAACUGAUUUUUUGACUACAUGUCAAAGCUAGUGGGAGAAUAAGUGUUAUGCUAGUUGGAAUGUAAUUAUUAUGCUAUUGGGAGCACAAUUAUUACAUUAAGUUUUGUAGGGUAGUAAUGCUAUUUUUAGGAAACAAAGUUUUUAUUUGCAAAGUUGUAGUGUUUGAAAAGUUGUUUCCCUAUAGCAAGGGAGAGGAUACUUAUACUUUAUUUUGAAUCUAAAAGUUUAGAUUUUAGUAUUAAAGCUUAGUCAUGACCAUAUAUGAAUAUCGGGUUGAAAUGUUUCAACAUUGGAAAUUCUAUAUAUGGAAACAUUAAUGCAAGAGACUGGUAAAGUAUCAUGCCUUUAUGUAAGACAUUAUGAAUCGUAUACCAUAUUCCUCAGGUAUAGGAUCGAUUGUAUAUGCUAUAAUAUUCACGUGUUCUAUUUUUCUAAAUGCGUAGGGCAUUAAGAGGGAAAAAGGACUAGAACCGGAUACGACUAAAGUGGUUAAACCACUGUCAAGGACAAUCUAAGGUUCGCUAAUGAUUGAUCACUUGUAGUUGGAAGUAUAGUAAUGAAUGGACCAUAUAGACAUUAUUAUAAAUAGAUAGAAUUCUAUUAAGAAUAAAUUGUCAUAUGGCAAAUAUGGAAAAGUUUCCAUAAUAAGAGUUGGAUAAUAAGAAUCUAUGUGUAGGUUAGAAACUUUUAUGCAAGAAGGAUGUUCAAAGGAAUGUACUUUGAAUGUGAGACUUCAUAUCUAUGGAGUUGUCUUGUGACAAUCUCAAAUAGAGCACUCUGUAAUAUCAUUGACAAAGUCUUUGUGACUUUGGUACCUUGACGUUAUAAAAGGAUCAUCGCAUGAUAGUUUAGAAUCUAACACAUUCUAAUAGUUUCAAGAAUUUGGUAUUCUUACACUUGCAAUAAGGAUUUUGAAUUGUGAAAUUAGAAUCAUUGGAAAUGUAUUCAAUCGAUCUAUUUCACAUAGAAAUGACCAUAGGUAAACAUGGUGUGCAUUCUUGGAGCAUGGGAUAACUAUUGCUUUAAUCAAGUAUUAAGUUGAUUAUUCAAAACAUUAUACAAUAAAUAAUGUGUAAUCAAUAUGGUAAUUAAAUAAUAAGUUUUUUAUUUAUACUCAAAAGUUUUGAGACCAUAUUGGAUUCGAUUAUUAUUGUGUUUCACUUUGCAUGCUUUGACUUCCAGAAUAACUAGGUUGUUCAAACAUCCACAGUCAAUCAUAUUUUGGAAGUAGGUAAUGAGGUAAGACUGUCAUGAAUCCGACUGUAGAUUGUUUAAAUUAUUUAAACAUAGCAAAAGUUUGUUGCAGUGUUCAUGAGUACUCUUGAAAUAAGAUUUGAGUAUUGGAUUAAACUCAUGCUCACAUGAAUCACUUCAUGGAUUUUAUCACGAGUGAUUGUGAGAUGAUAAUAUAUUAUAUUCUUGAAAUAGAGACAUAUAGUUGUUAUUUACGAGUCGGUUGCGCAUUGAUAAUACGUAAACGUGUCAGUAACUUGAUGCUAUAAAACAUAUUGUUGUGCGUGAUUUGAUGAGUAAAUAGUACAAUGAUAUGAGUCGAAGUUUAUCCAUUCCUUUUAUUAAAUGUGGGAUAAAAACGAUGGGCCCUUCGGUGAUUUACUGAUGACAACCCUAAGCGCUUGGCCAAGCCUGGACUGAUUUGAUAUGUUCAAUUAGUCAGUCGUCAUAAAUCGGAAAUCGAGAACAACACAUGAACAGAAAGAAUGAUUAUAAUCAAUGUCUCAGUUCAUGUGAUAUAUAUAAUGGAGUAAUAUAUGAUCCCUUAUCUAAAGGAUGUGUUACUGAUAAGAUCAGAGUUUGACAACGACUUAUGAAAGCUACGAUUGAUAAUCAGAUUUUGAAGUCGUACUUCCAAUAAUAGUUAUUAGAAUUAUCCAAGUGGGAGACUAUUAGAUUAGGUGUCUAAGCCCAUAACUAUUUUCGGUAUGUACUUGAUUUGAUUAUGAGCAUGGUCCUUCUGGGUUGCCUUCACUCAUGUAACUUGAUAGGAUGACAAGUGGUGAAAGAGUAGGAUUUAUUAUAUGAAUAAUAAAUUGAUACUCAGAAUGGUUUUAUUAAUAUAUUAAUAGAUUAAUAUACUAUUUGGAAAUCAUAUUAUUAAUUAGUUAUUGAUCAGAAAUUAAUUUAAUAUUAAUUUUGGGAUUAAAGGAACUGAUCAAUAAUGGAGGGAAUGAUUAUGUAAAUCAGUAAUAGUUGUAGUUUGGGUUAAAGGACCUUAUUGAAAAGAGGUGGCCAAAAAUCUAUGGAAAGCCCAUAGAAUUUCCGUCCAAGGGCUUUUCAUAUGGGGGUCUAUGGAUUGCUUAUGGCUUAAGUAAGGAAAUUAGGGUUUCCACCUUAAAACCCUAAUAAGCCUCAACUAUAAAUAUACCCUCUACAUAGGAUUUUCAGCUACCAUGAGUUUUUGUGCGAAACCCUAGCCAAAAUCCUUCCCUCUCCAAGUCAUUCUUUGCAAGAGUGUUUGAAACUCCAUUAGAGCUGCAACACUUGGGUCACUAAGCUUUCAAAGGUCAAGGAGUUCUUGUUAUUCCUACAUAACAAGUGAGGUAAUGUUUCAAACCCUAUUUUACACAUGAAUUUCGAAAUUGGUAUGCUAGUUAUUAGGGCUUAUGCAUUGGAUGAUUAUUUGCAUGUAUAACUUGAGAAAAACCUAGAUCCAAAGCAUUAGGGUUGCAUGUACACCAUAGGAAUGUUGUAAUGCUUAAAACCCAUCAAGACAUUGCCGACAUUUUGAUGGAAACAUAUACGAAGAGAAUCCGAGAGAACACCGGUCCAGGUUUAGUGCAACCUGCAAUUCAUGCUACCGCACUGUUCGAGCUUACGGGACAUAUUCUUUCCGCGCUUAAGGACGUUCCAUUUUCUAGGAAAUAUCAUGAGGAUGCUUACAAACACCUUGAUGAAGUAAAUGACAUCGCAAAUUAAUUCAACAUUCCAAACGUUCCACACGAGAAGGUGUUAUUGAUAAUGCUUCCUUUCACAUUCAGAAGAGCUGCUAAGGAUUGGUUGAAGGCACUUACACCUGGUGCCAUUACUAGAUGGGCACAAAUGAAUGAACAAUUCUUAAAGCAAUUUUUCCCAACAUAAAAAGUGUCUAAAAUCAAGAAGGCGAUAACCAAAUUUGAGCAAAAACCGGGUGAAUCACUUUAUCAAGCAUGCGAACUUUACAAGGGAUUACUUCGAAAUUGCUCUCAAAAUGAUAUUAAUAUGCAACACGGAGUAUCAUUCUUCUAUGAUGGGGUAAAUGUGAUUACAAGACAACACCUUGAUUCUCAAGGACCUUUGAUGAAGAAAAAUCCUGCUAAUAUCAAUGAGCUAAUUGAAGAGUUUUCUAAGCAUUCGCGUGAGUAUAAUAAUUGUCGAAAUGAUAGGGCUAAAGGAAUUGAGAGUGGCACUUCUGAGGACAUGUCAUCUAUGUUAGUUAUGUUGAAUAAUAUGGAUCGAAGAAUGAAGAAGAUGGACCAAUCCAUACAUGCUAUUCGUAUGGGUUGUGAAAAAUUCAAUGGUAUACAUUUGACAAAAGAUUGUAAUUUGGAUGAGAACGGGAAUAAGAAAGCUCAAGUAUGAUACUCAAGUGGAUAUCGUUACGAUGAAGAUUAGAGGGAGCCAAAGAAAGAAUGGUUGCCAUAUGAGGAAUACAAAAAGCAAAAAGAAGAGAGAUACAGGCAAACAGGCCAAUGCUCGUACCAAAAAGAUCAACUACAACCUGAAAAGAAAGUGGAUUUAGAAUCCAUGCUUACUAGAUUCAUGGAAGCUUCAGAAAAAACGACAUGAUGAGACAGAUGCGGCAAUAAUAGACCAACAAGUUUUAAUGAGAGAUCAGCAAGCUUUACUUAGAAAUCAUCAAGCAUGGAUCCAAAAUAUCGAAGCUUAAAUUGGUCAAUUAACUACAUUGGUUAAUGAAAGAUUAUCUCCACAAAUUCUCGAGUAAAAGCCACAAUCGCAUGUCAUAGCCAUCGACACUAAUGAAGAUACUAUUGAUGAGUUCAUAGAAGUCCUAGAACAAGAGCAAAUCAGCCUGAACCAAAGCAGAAGAAUUCAAACGUUGAAGAAAAAAUUCUUGCACAAUCCUCGACAUCACGACGUGGAGAUUCAAUCUCCACGACAUGCACACAGCCUGAAAAGAAAAAUCAAUCUGGCGUUCAAGCGUUGGGUUAAUUUCGUGAGAAAAUAGAGAUGAGGGAAGAGACAAGAAAAUAAUAGAGUCUUAGAAGGGUCUCAAAACAUGUAUAUAUUUAGUUGCAUUCCACUUGCGUAGAAGACUUAAUGCGCAACUGCAUUCUAUGAAGACCAGUUUCCACGACGUGGCCCAUCGUUCCAUGUCGUGACUUUGGAAGCCAUUGCGAUUUCAAAAUGAUUUACAUCGACAACAGGACGUGAAUCACCAUAACACGUCAUGGCAAGGGAAAUGAGGGAAAAUAGAGAUGAGGGAAGAGACAAGAAAAUAAGCAUUGGGUUAAUUUCGUGAGAAAAUAGAGAUGAGGGAAGAGACAAGAAAAUAAUAGAGUCUUAGAAGGGUCUCAAAACAUGUAUAUAUUUAGUUGCAUUCCACUUGUAAAGAAGACUUAAUGCACAACUGCAUUCUAUGAAGACCAGUUUCCACGACGUGGCCCAUCAUUCCACGUCGUGACUUUGGAAGCCAUCGCAAUUUCGAAAGGAUUUACAUCGACAACACGACGUGAAUCACCAUAACACGUCAUGGCAAGGGAAAUGGCUUUUUAACUCUCUCUUCCAAAUUUAUAAUGUGACGUAUGCUUUCCCACAUUGAGAUUCUAAGCUCUGAAGAUUUUAUGCACCAUAUUUGUUGAAGAUUCAAGUAUUUGAUUCGCAUUCUGUCGGCAUAUUCACAUAUCUCAAAAGAUCCAAGUUUCAUUCACAUAUUGAAGGUGUUCAAUUUAUCCACACAUUUAGAAACGAUCUUAUCACUACUACCCUAGGGGAGUCUGUUCCUUUUUCUUCUUUUGUUGCUUUUAAAUUAUUUUAAACAUACAAUGAGGCCAUUGUAUGUAAUAAGUGUGGGGUAGGGGGUCGAAAAGUUAAAUUGCUAGAAAAUUUUAAAAAAUUUAAAAUUUAGAACUAAAUUUAGAAAUAGAUUUGAAAUAAUAAUCUACAAAUUGAAUCUAUUAGAAGUUUAAACUUAAGUUGCAAGUGUUAUAUGGAAUGAUUCAAUACGAGCUCAAAUGUUUAAUUGAGCCAACAUACAUUAUAGUAUAUUUGUAUCUUCCUAAUUUUUAGUGAAAAGUCAUGAGAUAUGAAAGAUAAUCUGGUAGAUUACAUGGCAUAAAAAGUUUUGCAACCUGCACCUGAAAUCCAUCCAUGAGAGCUUAUGUAGUCAUUGCACUUAUACUAAUACCUAUAAUCAAUAAAGGUUGAAGUUAAGCUCCCUUGCUGACGUAUGUAGGAUUUAAGAAAAAAAAGUGAGUUAGAAAAAAGAAAGAAAAUUACCAAAAAUUUGUAAUAAUUUUGGAGCUAUCAAGUAUGAACAUCAAAUAUCAAAAUUCUGAUAAAUCAAAAAGUUAAAGAUACCAAAAAAAACGAAAUAGUGGUGAAUUCAAUGAAAUUAGCGAUCAAUUAUUCAAAGAAGUGAAGAAUUCCAAAGAGCUCCAUUGUGGUAUCAAAAGUAGUAAUUUUUCUUGAUUAUGUAUGCUUGGGUAGCUUAACCAAAAAUACAUUGAGGUUAAGAAAGAUUUCUAAGGAUUGAUUUGGAGGGUUGCAGAAAUUCGUGUCGUAUAAGCUAAAGGGUGAAGGUUCAUAUGGAUUGUGAGUAUUUAGGAUUGGGAAGUUAUUAUGAUUUUAGACACAAAUAUAAGGUCUUGGUAUAUGUUUGAGUUCAAAUGGAUUGUCUGAUGUGAUGUUGGUUAUGAAAGUUUGACUUAAAAUAAGUUAGUUUUUCUUGAGGGUAAGCAAAUGAUAAGUGUGGGGUAUUUGAUAUUGCCAUAUUUAUACACAUUUUAGGCAAUAUUUUAAUACGUUUUUAUUAAUAUUUUGGUUAUUUGCAAAGAUAUAUGAUACUUAUGAGAUUAAAUCAUAUUUUGCAGCCAAAAGGAACAAUCUUGAAGAAUAACGAACCUUAUUGACAAGAAGUGGAACUUUGGAGGAUUGAAGAAUUAAAAGAAGAAAAGUCAUUGUGAAAAGCUCAUAUCAUGACGUGGACAUCAUUUACACGACGUGGAGUGAUUGUUCUAGAAGAUAAGCGCACGGAAAGUCAGAGUCCUUGGCCGAUAAGGAUUUAUCUCAAGUACACGAUGUGAAAUUCCUAUUAAUGUCGUAACAUGCGAAAAUUCCCAAAACUAUAUAUACUCAUUUACUUUCAUGAUUUAAAGAGGCUUAGAAGAUUUUUAGAGAGAUUUCUGAUUGUUCAGAAAAAAUGAGAUCUAACAUUCAUUGAAGGAUAUUUAACUGAAGAUCAAGAGAUUGAAGAUAAUAUCCAUCAUCUUAGUUUUGUACACUAUGAUUAUUUCUUUUCUUAUUGGAUUUAUGUUUGUAUUAUCAACCAUGAGUAGUUGAGUCUAGUAGCUUCCAUUUAGAUAGAUAAAGCUUUAACUCUAUGGUUUAGUUUAUCGAUUUAUAGAUUUUAAUUGUUGGUUAUGAGCUUGUGUUUGAUUAUCUCUAUCUUGCAUGUUAAUAUGUGAUACUUUAAUUGCCUGAAUUUAGGUUCUUUGUAGCUCAGUGAACAUUAAAUUACAUGAACUUGUUACCUAGUAGUUUAGUAACCAUUAAAUUGCUAGAGAUAUGAUCGACCUAAUCUUAGACAAGUAAUAAAAGUAACUAAUUUAGCUGUGCUGGAGAACAUAAAUUGUAAGCACAAUUAUGUUUCUUUAGAUCAAUCUUACAUAGCUUAUCUGUAAUUUAUAAUUGAUUAUGUGUUUGUGCAACAUCCCCAUUUUCACGGCCAUAAAAGACCGAUUUUGUUAUGCUUUAUAAAAAUCAGAGUACUUCUUUUAAUAAAAAUGUUGCGGAAUUUGUUUCUAGUAAACCAUGAUAAAUACGUUCUCAAAGCAUUUCUAAAGAAAUGUAUUUUUAUUCAUUUUAAAACAUUUGGUAUGUCAUUGUCAAUACAGAAACAUAAACAUAAAUAGAACUUACAUUCAUUUACACUAGUAAUCUACACCUAUUUAAUCUCUCAGUGUAAUGUAACAUCGUGUUGGAACAUGUGAUUUAAAUAAGCUUGAGUGGGUCAGGUUGGGAAACCUGGUGAGUAUAUAGGGUUUUCAACCCACAAUAAUGUAAUUAUUAUGUUUAAACAUCAAACAAGCAAGCCAAUCACCCAUCCCCAUUAUCUUCUUUACUCUUAAGGAUCUACCCUAAGAAUUAGUCACAUAGUCGCCAGGGUUUAGGCACUGAGUCUCAUAGUCGCCAGGGUUUACACAACAGACACUAAGUCGCAUAGUCGCCAGGGUUUAGAGUACACCGGAUGAACACAUCUUUCACAACACGUACAGGUUGCGAGCCUGGUAGUGUUCCACUGGAUUGUCUAGAAUAGUCCGUGGUUGUCAUCCAUACUCUGCUAGAUGAAGGGGCCAUCGCUUGACUCAUCGCUUAGGUCAUCGCUUGGCUCAUCGCUUCACUCAUCUCUUAGGUCAUCGCUUCUCACCAUAAUUUACCACUCAUAUAUCAUCACUCAUAAAUCAUCUCAUCUUUCAUCGCUCAUCAUUUAUCUCAUCUCUAAUCUACAAAUGUUUUACCCAACAUAUUUUGUAGAUAUAAAAUACAUAUACAGUUUAAAUCAUUUAAAACAUGUAUAAAAUCGUUCAUCUAGCAUAGACAAAAAAUAUACAGAUAAUAUGCACACGUAGCAUGUAAUUUAUAUAAAAUACUUCAUAUCUAUGUGUAAGAUGAAAGUAACUAUGCACUCACCUAUAAAGGUGGUGAUUCCGAACUCAGACAGCACUUCGCUUCUUAAAAAUAAUUUGCUUCGAUGAAACCUAGUACUAUUACCACUAGAUUUUAGUCUAAUAUUCACCGUGACUAAUUAUUAGUCUUAUUAUUAUUAUUAUUAUUAUUAUUAUUAUUAUUAUUAUUAUUAUUAUUAUUAUAUAAGUGUUUAAACAAUAUUUUCCAACCACUAUGUACAGACAGAGGCCAGACAUAAAACACCGGAGGGCAGGACCAUUUUGGCAUAUAGCACUUCUGAAAUCCAACAACCCUAUGCAGCCCUUUAAAUCAGAUUCUCCAUACCGCGAGUAGUUAAAAAGAUAUUAUAACGACACUUAUAUAAGUCAUAAUAAUAGCCUAAAUAUUUAUUAUAAGUUCAUAAUAACAAUACUAAUUUUAAAUAUAAACUAUAUUUAAAAUAGGGUAAGCAUAACUUACUUACAAGGGGAUUUUAGCUAGGAGUCGGGCUCUGCAGGGGCAGAACUUCGUCGCUGAAUCUUUCUAAGAAAGAUUCGUGCAGCGCUUCAGCGCUCACCUUACUAUACUAAAACUACAGAAAGAGAAGUCGAAUCACGAGGGACCGAAAUGCUCGGGGGAUAAGGAGAGAAAGACUCUUGAAUCAAGAGAAUGGUGCAAGAAAUAUGAGAGCCCAAGGCUCUUAUUUAUACUAAUUGAAUUUUCAAAAACUACCCUCCAUAAUUACUUAAUGACCUUUUAGUUAUAUAAACAACUAAACACCCCUCUAUAAUACUAUUAUAAAUGGAUUUAAUGAUAUUUGUACUAAACUAAUGUCGAAAGAACUCAACAUUAGUCUUAUAAUGACCGCAUCGUCGAUACCUUUCUAAUGAUAUAUACAUAUGUAUAUAUAUAUAUAUAUAUAUAUAUAUAUAUAUAUAUGUGAGUGUGUGUGUGUACGUAUAUAUGAUUUAUACUUUAUUUUAAUACGUAAAUAUGCUAUUAUAAUUUAUAACUCAUUCCUACGAGCUCUGUUUUUUAUGCUCUUUAUAUCCACGCGUAGGAAGAGACACACUCUACAACUUUCAUUNACCAUCUGGUGGCAAGACUUGGGGAGAAAGCAAUUGCCAAGAUUGUGCCACAUCACCCAUUUUCGCACAACACACUCCCGACUUCUAAAAUCCACAGCUUUAUCCGUUUUUUACAUUCUUUAUAUCCAUGCAUAGGUAAAAAUAAGAUCUACAACUUUCAUUUUGACUCCGUCGACUAGUUCUCGACCGAUCUUAAAUUUAACAGUACGAGAAGAUUAUACUGUUAAAUGUCCGCGUAAAAUUCAUAACUUCUACAUACGAACUCUGUUUUCGUCUGUCUUUUUACCGUUGAGUUCCUAUUAAUGAGAUCUUCAAUACUCAUUUAGGCCGUGUAGGCCAAAAACCGCUCGAUCUAAAAUUCGAGUUUCGGGUUGUGCACUGCUAUGCCAAAUCUUAGAAAAUUCAUAACUUACUUAUACGAAGUCAGAUUUGGGCGUUCUUUUUUUGUAUGUUCUCGGUUUACCGUAUGCUACAACUUUGUUUUAGUUUAAUAAGUCCAAAAAGUCAUCUAUCAUAAAUUCACUAUUUACGUCUCCCGGUGUCGUGCCGGUUUUGCCGUAAAACUUCAACGGACCAUAACGUCUUCGUUAUAACUCGGAUUUCGGCAUUCUUUAUAUGUAUGGAACCCUUGUAACAUAUACUACCACUUUGUUAAGAUUACUCCUUCUAAAUAAUAUUCCAUCAAUAACUCAUUUUUUAAGCUUAUUGUAUCUAAAUUGACUAGCCCGAAUAUGCGGGAGUUACAGUUUGCUAAUGUAUGACCAUACUUAGUUUUACAUGAAUUAGUUAGUAAAUUUAGACUAUAAUUUGUAAUAAAAUAAUAAUUGAUAACCAACAUUAAUAAUCCAUAAUCAGUAGCUAACCAUAGAGGAGAAGUGGAUUCAAACUAAAUGGAAGUGUUUUUAGUAAUUGAUAGAAUUGCUAGUUAAGUGAUUAAGUUUGUCUGAACUUGCAAAAUUAGAUAAAAACCAAUAAAACUUGUGCUUGAUUUUAGGUUAGUUUUUAGUAGUUAAAUUAGUUAAUCAAAUAUGUUCCCUGUGUUCGAUACUUACCUAUUGAGCUAUACUAUUCUUAACAAGGUACACUACCAUAGGUAAUAAUUAGUUUCAUUAGUAUGAUAAACUAGUGCAUCAUUAAGUUUAAGUAUCAUCAACCAUGUCCAAAAAGUCAACGAUCAAAGUUAACCUCAGCUGGUCUCCACGUUGUUGCCACCCAUAGGCUACGUCGUUGCACUCCAAGACAAAACUGUCGGGACCCUCCUCAGUCGCCAAGUCAUGGAAACCAAAACACCAUGUCGUAGGAAUUGGGUUCCAUCAGCUUAACAAAUUUAGCUCUUAACUUGUUAAGCCAUUCCUUCAAACUUUCCAAAACCCUUCCUAAAGCCUAAUACUUCACAAAGAUCGGUGCUUUUCAGUAUUGCAUGCCCAAUACAAAUCUAAUACUCAAACUUAGGUCAAAAAGAAGAAAUACCACAAAGGAUCACAUGCAUUAAGCCCAAAAUAGCAAGAAACUUCAUAUCUGGAAGAAGGACCCCAACAAUCCAUAAAUUGCUAACUUUAUGGAUUUCAAACAUUCUACCCAACCCAACAAAGAGAAAAGUGGGCAAAAACCUGGAUCUAGCAUGCUCAUAACAUAAAGCUUGAGUCUUGGAUACUUACAAUGGUCCAUAAGUAAACAAGAAAAUGAUGAUGAGACUUGCAGUUAGACCUCUACCCAACCCAACAAAGAGAAAAGUGGGCAGAAACCUAGUUCUAGCAUACUCAUAACAUAAAGCUUGAGUCUUGGAUACUUACAAUGGUCCAGAAGUAAACGAGAAGAUGAUGAUGAGACUUGAAGUUAGACCAAUGCUUCAACAAUGAUUCUUUUUCCUUCAAAACACAAAAAGUGACCACAAAAGCAAAGAUAUCCUACGACACGGCUAGGGUUUGGAUGGGGUAGUUUCUCAGAGGGUGGAGGCUACCAAAUGAGACAAUCCUAGGAGUUAGUGCCCUUAAUUAGGGCACCAAACCCACAAAUUAGGGUUUUGGCCCAAAAUAGUCCCUACGUCGUGGCCAACAUAAUGCCACGUCGUGAGAGACUUAAAUGAAGUCGUGUUCAAUCUGCGUCAUCCCCCAUCGUGGUGGUGCUUCCACCACGUCCUGGCCUUCCAAUUCACAUAAAAAUUAAAUAAAGAUUAUACAUUGAAGACUCGUAUGUUACAUUAAUGAAAUAAAUUAGAACAAAAAAAUAGGGGGUUGGGUGUAAAGAUAAUGAACAAGCUUCAUAUUUUCGAGUCUGAUAAAAAUUGAUGAACAUGGCAACUUUAGUCCCGUCUUUCUAAAAAUAUUGUGUGAAUCAAAUAAAAUAGGAUGAUGAGUAGGUUAGAACUAAUUUGCAUAUGUGGGUUAAAGAUCGAAGAACAAGGACCAGAAUUAAAAAUCGAUGAACAUGUUAGAAUGAUUUAGCCGUAUGUGUUGCGUGUGCAUUCAAUCUCCCUUAAAAUAAAACUAUUGCUUCACAAUACUCCCCCUUCAUUUUCGCCUGUAAUUGGUAGGUGUAUGUGGGGUAUGGUAUCCAAAACCAUGAAAAUGUCGACACCAUGGUCCAUUGCCAAACCUUGAAAAGUACAUGUCAUUUCAUAUUUAAUAUUGCACUGGAUGGAUCGUAGUGAUCGUUGGAGGAUAAAUUUUGGUUCUUCAAUGUCAAAGUGGGUCCACAUGGAUAUAUCAAGGUUGCUAUGGAGACCUUUCACUAUAUGAAGUCAAUGUACACAUCAUCAAUCUAAUUGGAAAACGGUAAUUUUAAGUAAAAUGAUAUUUUAGACAUGUAAAUUUCAAGUUUAAUAGUCUAACAGGUCAAAAAAUAAAAAUAAAAGGUUGUUUAAAGCCAAAAUUAAAUCUUUCAUGUCAAUAACUUUUUUAAAAAUUAAUCGUUUAACAACGGAAAACGUGUUCUGAUUUUAUUUUUACCAAUCAUCACGUGUUUAUAUUAUAAAAAUGAUUGUGAUUAUUAUUUAAUAUUUAAUGGUACUUAUAAUAGUUUCAUUUGUAUCAUUCAAUGAAGUUUAUUUUGUGCAAAUUUUACUUUUAUACUAGUCAAUAUUCAUUAGACUAUUAGGUGUGGGCAAUAUGUUAUUACAUGUUACCACAUCCAAAAGGUACCAUGUCAGCAUCCUACUCAUACAUGGGUGUUAUAACACCCAAAGUGGAAAUGGACAACAUCUAAUAACAUAUGAUAACACCAAUUAUUUUCUAUUUUAUUUUUUAUUUUCUUGAUGUUUCUUUUUCUAUAUUUCGAAUUUGGUUUUAUUUAUUUAUUUAUAUCAUAGUAUUUAUAUUUAUCAUAUAACUUAAAUCAUAAAUUAAAAAUAACAUUUGAAAAGAAAAAUAAAAUUUUAAUAAAUCUUAAAUUAAAAACAACAUUAAAAAAAGUACAACAAAACACAAAAACAUUUAAAAACCUAAAAAAAAAAGAUGAUAAAACCUACAUUUUUUGGCCUAAAACAAUUCAACUUCAUCUUCGUGACCAACAUUGAUGUAAUUCGCCAAGUCUUCACAGAGUUGCUUGUGUUUUCGUUGAUCUUGAAUAUCAACCACUCCAUGUAAAUAUUCUGAUGUCCCUGGUUGAAAUUGCACAUGCCUUGGUUCCGUAGGCGAAUACGUUGCAAUAUUGUGUCCUUUAUCUUCGACAACCAUGUUAUGCAUUAUGAUACAUGCAAACAUGAUAUACCGUAGAGUAUUUAACUCAUAAGGUCUCGCUGCAUGUUCAACUAUGUGCCAGUUUGAUUUAAAAACUCCAAAAGCACGUUCAACGUCCUUAAGUGCUCCUUCUUGUCGUCUCUUGAAAUAUAUUUGUCCCUUGGGUCUAUUGGGUGUCGAAACGCCUUCACAAAAAUCGAAUAUUGUGGAUAUAUUCCAUCUGUAAGGUAAUACCCAAACUUAUAUUCAUUUCCAUUCACUGUGAAAGGAGCAUCCGGGGUUUUCCUAACAAAAGAUCGUCAAAUAUUGGUGAUUGAUCGAGAACGUUGGCGUCAUUGUUAGAACCCGCAACCCUGAAAAAGCAUGUCAAAUCCAUAAAUCUUGUGAAGCAACAACCUCUAAUACCAACGAAGGCGCUCCAUGAUGACCGCUCGAAUAAUGGCAUUUCCACGCCACGGGGCAAUUUCUCCAUUUCCAGUGUGUGUAAUCAAUGCUUCCAAGCAUACCCGAAAAACCAUGUAUUUCUUCAUGCGCCGUAUAUAGUUGUUGCAUAUCAUGCAACAAAGGUUUGCGCAAGUAUUGGUCACCGAAGGUUUCGACAACACCUCUUGCCAAUAAAUAUAAACUUUCUCGUACGGUCCUUUCAGACAUUCUCAUAUAAUCGUCAAUAGAAUUGGGUGACUCCCCCAUUGCCAUAAGUUUAAUUGCAGCAAUACAUUUCUGCAACCCUAUGUAGCCUCGUUUGCCUUUAGCAUCAUAUCUCAAUUAGAAAAAUUCAUACCUAAAUAAAUAUUAAACAUGUAUAAAUUGUAUUUAUUUUAUUUAAAAGUUACAUUUUAUAAAUUAUAAAAGUUGAAACAAACGAUACCUAAAUAUAUAUUAAACAUGAAAAAUUGUAUUAAUUUUAUCUAAAAGUGACAUUUUAUAAAUUAUAAAAGUUGAAACAAACGAUAUCUUGCUUCCAUAGCGUUGGCUAUCCUUUCAAACACAUUUUUUCGCAAACGAAAUCUUCUUUUGAAAUCGUUUGGUUGGUAGACACAAUUUUCCGCAAAGUAAUCAUUGACUAGCCGUCUAUGCCCUUCCUCACGAUCUCUAUUUAACGCUACAUGUCGCGUGAUUAGUGGAGCUGGAUCUGGCUGUAGUAGGCUAUUUGUAUAAUACAGGUACAUCGUACUCAUGAACAAAUCGUCUUCGUCGUUAUCAUCGUUGUACGGAUGUACCAGAUCAAAUUGAUUCAUAUUUUGGUUUUGAAAUAUUGAAAGAAAUAUGUAGAGAAGUGUAAUACCGUUAAAUUUCAAACAAUUUUUUUGUUCAUUUAAUAUUAAUAAAACAUUUCAUUUCCAAAUCAUCCUAAAAUCAUGUAUCCAAUAUUUUCACAAAAUAAAACACAAUACAUAAUCCAUAUCCCAAGAUCUCAAAAGCAUAUCAUCUGCAAGUGUGUACUGAUCAUGCCGGCGCCUUCCCGCGAUCAUCACUGGUACCUGAAACACAUAACAUACAAACGGUAAGCAUAAAUGCUUAGUGAGUUUCCCAAAAUACCACAUACAACACUUAUGCCUUUCCAGGCCAUAACUCUACAGGAUUUUCCGAUCCAAGUGUCUCAGGGGAUUUCCAUCCCAUAACUCUGUUGACCUUCCUGCCCAUACUCUGUUGACCUUCCGGUCCAUAUCAUCAUACUCAUAUCAUAACAUAUCACAUAUAUAACAUGCAUCACAUAAACAUCAUACACAUAAGACCUUCCGAUCAUACAUAAUUACCCCAUCGGGUAUAGCAUAGUAAGAAGACUCACCUCACUAAUGUCGGAUAAUCACUCGUGCUCGAUUCCCCGAAUUACCGUCCUCCUAUAUCAUAAGUACAUCUCUAAUUAAUACUUUCCUGACUUAGUUUGACUAACACUAUUAAGUCAACACUAGUCAACCCUGGUCAACGCUGGUCAACGGUCAACCUUUGACCCGACCCGUCGAGUCUUGCAUAGACUCAUCGAGUCCAUACAUGAACUCGAGUCCUUCAAAUCCUUUCUGACUCACCGAGUCACUCACCCAACUCGGCGAGUCAUCCACUCAUCUAAGUCACGGGACAACCCACUUCGACUCGUCGAGUCUGCUCAUGGACUCGGCGAGUUCAUUUCAUGCACAACCUCAAACAACCUUCUGAGGUCAGAUCUAUUCCUCUAAUCCUUAGAUCUAACCUUCCCAAUCUCAAUAAUCACAUAAAGUCUCUAUCUUGAUGCACAUGCAACAUCUAUAUGACCAUAUAUGAUGAUUUAGCCCCAAAUACCAUAACCCAAGGUCAUAACCUCCAUUGUUCUUCAUAAAGCUUGAUGAGUAAGGCUCUCUAGACCUCUAUGGAUCCAGAUCCUAAGCCUCAUCACCAAAAAGGGACAAUUUGGACAUCAAAUCAACCUAACAAAGGGUCCAAGAAACCCUAAAUCCAUAUAUUCUUCAUAAAACAGAAGAAGAGCCGAAUUACUACCUCAAAUGCGAUGAUCUUAGCUUCAAAUCCAAAGAAUAGCAACCUCCUUUGCUUCCUCUUGGCUAGGACCUCCUUCUUCUUGCUAAACAACACCACAAAAGUCAAGAAUGACUUCUUUUCUCUAUCAAAACGCUCAAGCACUAUAGGGUUUCUCUCUAUGGAUUGGUAGCCGCAAAUGAAGGCCACAAGGGCCUUUAAAUAGGUCCCAAACCCGAGAAAUUAGGGUUUCUUUCGUUAGCUCUCACUCGUCCAGUCACUCCCCUGACUUGUCAAGUCCACUCAUUAACCACGUCAUCCAGUCGCGACCAGACUCGACGAGUCUAAGCACCAACUCCUCGAGUCACCUUACAUAAUUACAGAAAUACAACAUAAAUUAAUAUACCUGCGAAACAGGGUGUUACAAUUCUCCCCCACUAGAAUCAGACUUCGCCCUUGAAGUCUCGCUCAGGAAAUAACUCUGGAUACUGUUCACGCAUCUCUAACUCCGGCUCCCAAGUCAGCUCGGACCCCUUCCGAUGUUGCCACUGAACAUGAACCAAUGACACCUCCUUGUUUCUCACAACCUUGAUCCUCCUAUCCCGAAUCGCGCUCGGCCUCUCGACAUAGUUCAGGCUCGUAUGCACCUGAAUGUUCUCUAAUGGAACCACUGCCGACUCAUUGGCGAUGCACUUCCUCAACUGAGAUACGUGGAAGGUUUGAUGGAUCUGAUUCAACUCCGCAGGUAGCUCCAAACGAUACACUACCCUACCCACCCUGGCGGUCACACUGAAAGGACCAAUAUACCGAGGCCCCAACUUGCCUCUCUUCCUAAAUCGAAUCACCCCUUUCCAAGCUGAGACUUUUUGGAGAACGAAAUCACCCACCUGAAACACGAGCUCUGACCGUCGUCUAUCUGCAUAACUCUUCUGAUGGCUCUAGGCUGUCAACAACCUCUGUCUAACCUGCUGAAUCUGCUCGGUGGUCUGUAGUACUAUCUCUGUGCUACCCAUCACCCGCUACCCUACUUCUCCUCAGCAAAUGGGAGUCUGACACCUCCUCCCAUAUAACAACUCAAAAGGAGGCAUACCGAUGCUCGAAUGAUGGUUGUUGUUAUAGGAAAACUCAGCCAAAGGUUGAUACAUGUCCCAACUCCCUCCACAAUCCAAUACACAUGCACGAAGUUGUUGGAUUAGUAUCUAAGUCCAUAACUAUUUUGGUAUGUACUUGACCCGAUGGUGCAUGGUCCUUUUGGGUUGCCUUCACCAAAGCAACUUGAUAGGAUGAAUUAUGGAGAGAAAGGAUUAAAUAUGAUUUAUUAAUAUAUUAUGGGAAUAAUAUAUUAAAGGAGAAAUCAUAUUGUUUAAUUAAUAUUAGUCAAUAAUUAAUUGGUAAUUAGUUUUGUGACUAAAAGAGAUUAAUUAAACUUAAGGGACUGGAAUUAUAAUUAUAAGAUAAUUGCAAUUUGGGCCAUGGAUUGCCUUAUAUUAUAAGGUGGACGAAUUCUAUGGGAGAAGCCCAUAUGAAAUCGUCCAAGGCCUUGAGAAAAGGGCUCCAUGGGUUGCUUAGGGCUUAAGCAACCAAAUUAGGGUUUCCUUGUUUGAUAACCCUAAUAGCCUCACUAUAUAUAGAACCCUUAAGGCUCAAAAACGUGGGGAACUUCUCUUCUAGGGUUAGAACACGUUUUGGGCAGCCUCCAUCCUCUCUCCUCUUCAUCCUCUUGCUUAUGGUGUUUGUGAACCAUUAGAGGAGUGACACUUGUGACUCUAAGCCUUCCAAAGUCAAUACAAGGAAAUUUGGGAUUGUUAUUGCUACAUAACAAUCAAGGUAACAUUAUAAACCUAUUCUCAUGUUAAUAUGAUUACUUAAAUGCUAGAAUUAGGGUUUAUAGUCUUGGAUAACUUGCAUGUACAAUAAAGAAACCUAGAUCCAAGCAUUAGGGUUUGUAUGAGCACAUAGGAUAUCUUAUGACCAAAACCCAUCAGAAGCAUGUCCUCUAGCGUCUUAAUAGUCCGCUCACUCUGACCAUCGCUCUGAGGGUGAUAGGCAGUGCUGAAAUGCAAUCUCAUACCCAACUCCUCAUGAAGCUUCUUCCAGAACCUGGAAGUAAAAUGUACAUCCCGAUAUGACACAAUCGAAAUCGGUACCCCAUGCCGAGACACUAUCUCCCUCACAUACAUCUCUGCUAACUUCUCUGCAGAAGAGCUCUCAUUGAUAGGAAGAAAGUGGGCACUCUUCGUUAGUCGAUCCACUAUCACCCAAAUCGCAUCGACACCCCUUGGGGUUCUGGGUAACUUGGUGAUGAAAUCCAUAGAGAUAUGUUCCCACUUCCACUGGGGAACCUCGAGUGGCUGCAACUUGCCAUGCGGGCGCUGGUGCUCGGCCUUAACCUGACGACAGGUCAAGCACCUCUCUACAACCCACGCUACAUCCCUCUUCAUGCAUGGCCACCAAUAAUCUCUCUUCAGAUCCAAAUAUAUCUUGGUGGCCCUAGGAUGGAUCGAGCACCUCUAUCGGUGCGCCUCCUCCAUCAAGAUGCUACGUGCCCCAACAAUAAACGGCACCCAAAUACGACCCUGAAAUGUCGUAAGCCCUCGGCUAUCAGUCACAAACUCAGAUACUUGCCCAAUCACCUGCUCUUUCUUACGAUUUUCCGGUCUCACAGCCUCGGCCUGGGCCUCUUGAAUGGCAUCCAACAUCGGAGUCAUCACAGUCAUCCUCAUACACAUAUCUCGGAUCGGGGCACUCUCUGCCCUCCGAAUCAGGGAAACAGCUACCACAUUCGCCUUGCCCGGGUGGUACAGGAUCUCAUAAUCGUAAUCCUUUACCACAUCCAACCAUCUCCUCUGCCGCAUGUUCAAGUUGGGCUGAUCCAUCAAAUACUUCAAACUCUUGUGGUCCGUAUAUAUGGUACACCGAACCCCAUAUAGAUAGUGGCGCCAGAUCUUAAGGGCGAACACUACUGCCCUUAACUCUAGAUCAUGAGUGGGAUACCUCACUUCAUGAGGCUUCAUCUACCUUGAUGCAUACGCUAUCACAUGCCCCCUAUGCAUAAGCACUGCGCCUAACCCAGACAUCGAUGCAUCGCAGUAAACCACAAAAUCAUCAACUCCCUUUGGAAGGGAUAACACCGGGGUUUCGCACAACUUCUGGCGAAGAGUCUCAAACGAGGUCUGCUGCUCUGGACCCCAUGAGAAGGCAACACCCUUCCGGGUCAACCUAGUGAGUGGCACUGUAAUCAUGGAGAAAUCCUGAAUGAAUCUCCGAUAAAAACCGGCCAACCCCAGAAAACUCCUGAUCUCGGUAGCAGACUUUGGCACUUCCCAACUCAUCACUGCCUCAAUCUUGGCUGGAUCAACCAAUAUCCCAUCCUGAUUAACGAGAUGCCCCAGUAACUAGACCUCCCGUAACCAAAAAUCACACUUGGAGAAUUUGGCAUAAAGCCUCUCCGAUCUCAACACCUCAAGAACCUCUCUUAAGUGCUCCUCAUGCUGCUCCCGGGGAUCUAGAAUACACUAGAAUAUCAUCAAUGAGCACAAUCACCAAUCGAUCCAGCAUCGGCCUACAUACUCUGUUCAUGAGAUCCAUGAAUGCUGCUGGCGCAUUGGUGAGCCCGAAAGGCAUCACCACGAAAUCAUAGUACCCAUAACGCGUCUUGAACGCCGUCUUCUGGAUAUCCUCAUCACGCACCCUCAUCUGAUGAUAUCCACACCUCGGAUCAAUCUCGGAGAACCAAGAUGCCCCCUGCAGCGGAUCAAAUAAGUCAUCAAUCCUCGACAACGGAUAACGGUUCUUAACCGUUAACUUCUUCAACUCCCGGUAAUCAAUACACAUCCGGUGUGAACCAUCCUCCUUCUUAACGAAGAGGAUCGGAACUCCCCAAGGCAAGCUGCUCAGACAAAUAAACCCCUUUCCCAACAGCUCCUGCAGUUGUGAGGAUAACUCCUGCAUCUCCGGCGGUGCUAGGCGAUAAGGCGCCUGAGCGAUAGGUGUGGCUCCGAGAAUCAAGUCGAUGUGAAACUCCACCUGCCUUUCGAGAGGCACACCCGACAACUCCUCAGGAAAUACGUCCGGGAACUCACGCACUAUCGGGACAUCACCAAAAACACUUUGCCUCCCAGAGGCCUCCCGUGUAUCCAUCACAUAGGCUAUGAACCCCUUGCAGCCCUGCUGCAAACUCUGCCUCGCCCUGGCAGCCGAACAGAAUGCUGACCCACUAUGAGUCCCCUCACUAGAAACUGUCAGCACUUCCCCACUAGGAUCUCGAAUCAUCACCAGCUAUUGCUCGCAGUCUAUUACUGCCCCAAAUCGGCUCAACCAAUCCAUGCCCACGAUAACACAUAUGUCCCCAUUGCAAUUGGGACCAGAUCUAUCGGAAACCCAACGCCGAAGAUCUCAAGUACACACCCCCGAAUCACAUUUGUGGCAUACACUGCUCGCUCGUCAGCUAUAGAAACACGCAAAGGUCGACUCAUCACCUCUCGUUGGAUACUGAUGUGCCUACUGAAUUCUAAUGACACAAAAGACCGACUCGCACCCGAGUCAAAUAACACCAAAGCAGGUACAGAAUUCACAAGAAAAGUACCUAUGUAUAACAUAAUAGAAACACAUGAUCUCAUUACAACAUAAAUAAAUAUGAACAUAAUACAUACUAGCCACAACGUCGGGUGCUGCACGGACCUCCUCCGAUGUCAGCUGGAACGCUCUCCCUCGUGCCUUCGGCGCCUCGACCUUCACCGGCCGACCCUCAAUAGCUCGCGUAGCAGCAGGGACAGAUCCCUGUGGCGUCCCCUGUGCUGUCCCAUUCAACUGCAGACACUCGGCCCUCCGAUGUCCGGUCUGGUUGCAAUGAAAGCAAACCAUGAACCCCUUGGGGCAAUCCUUGGCUAUAUGUCCCUCCUUGCCACACUUGUAGCAAGCACCAGAUCUACAAACCCCAUCAUGACCCUUGCCGCACUUCCCGCAAGUGCGGCCCUUCUGGCCCCCAAAUCUCGAAUCAGCGGGCUUUCCCCGCUUGGCCGCCGGCUGAGACUGUGCCGGUCGGCGAUCCCUGCUCUGAGACUCGGCCUCCUCCCUGGCCUGAAUCUCCAGCUCAAUCUCCCUCUUUCGGGUAUUUUCCUGGAGCUCAGUAAAUGUUUGGUAUGAUGAGUUCGUCGCGAACUCACGAAUGUCUCUACUCAGAACGCUCAGAUAUCGGCUCAUACGUGCCUGCUCGGUCGACACGUGCUCAGGGCAGAACAUCGCCCUCUCAUGAAACAUCCUGGUAAUCAUAGUAACUGACUCAGUACCCUGCUUGAGGGUCAAGAACUCCUGAGCCAACCGUUCCCUUUCCACCGGGGGAACGUACUCGUCUUUGAACAUGGUGGUGAACCUCUCCCAGGUCACCGCUGAAAUCUCCGCAGAACUAAGAUGCGCAGUCACAAACUUCCACCAGUCCUUCGCUCCCAAACGAAGCUGGUUCAGCGCAAACUGAACCCUCAGAUGCUCUAGACACGAACAGGUGUAGAAGCAUCCCUCAAUGUCAAAUAUCCAUCUCAUCGCAACAAUCGGUCCUGCGUCCCAUGAAACUCUGGUGGCUUCGUGUUGCUGAACUCCCAGUAAAGCAACGAGUCACCCACCUGUGGCCUGGCGGCAGCGACAUCUGCAGUGGCCGCAGCAACAGUAGCAUCCGUAAGAGCAGCAUACCGCUCAUCAAAGGUCUCAAUCAGUGUGGUCUUAAUAGACCCAAAAUCUCUGGAAUCUCAACUCGGAUGGCAGCAGCCACCUCCUCAUGAAUCAUCUGGCGGAGCUCCUCAUCGCUCACGCCUCCCUCGCUGGUCUCUGGUCUGUGGCGCGUCCCAACGAUGAUGUCUCUGAAAUACAAUAUAAAAAUAUCAAGGACUCGCUUGAGUAUACUCGCACUCGAUAACCCAACCCUACUUGAUUCCUAGUACCCUAAGGAUUCCUACUUGGACUGCACACUUAUCCGGUGUUUCCAGUAGUAUGGGCCCAAUACUACCUUCCACACCGCACCAGUAUUCAUCCUAAGUCAUCCUCCAAGGAUCCUAAGUCAUAAGUACUCUAUCUCUUUCCACACAUAAACUACCCUUCGGUAGACUCUCAUAGCACAUCACUGCUACUUACUUAUUCUAAAGCAUCCCAUGGCAGCAGAAAUCUUCCUAGGCUAAAACAUCGCAAAUCAGGCCACUCUAGUCCUAAUAUGAAUACCUAGCCUACUCUUCUAGUCCUAAUAUGAAUACCUAGCCUACUCUAGCAUGCAUAACACAUUUCAAUAUAUCUCAUAACACAUAAUGUAAGGGUAAUUUGGGAAAGCACCGUUCGGGCGUUGGCUGAUCAUACACACUGCUUCCUUGCGUAUCUUCCAAAUUCUUUUACUCUUUAGAAAAAUUGUUUAUUUUAUGAAAAUCUUUCACAAAUCCUCAGUUUGAGUUCAAAUACACCCAAAGGUGAAUCCGAAUCCCUCAAACCAAGGCUGUGAUACCAAUUUGUAACACCGUUAAAUUUCAAGCAAUUUUUUGUUUCAUUUAAUUUUAAUAAAAACAUUUCAUUUCCAAAUCAUCCUAAAAUCAUGUAUCCAAUAUUUUCACAAAAUAAAACACAAUACAUAAUCCAUAUCCCAAGAUCUCAAAAGCAUAUCAUCUGCAAGUGUGUACUGAUCAUGCCGGCGCCUUCCCGCGAUCAUCACUGGUACGUGAAACACAUAACAUACAAACGGUAAGCAUAAAUGCUUAGUGAGUUCCCCAAAAUACCACAUACAACACUUACGCCUUUCCAGGCCAUAACUCUACAGGAUCUUCCGAUCCAAGUGUCUCAGGGGAUUUCCAUCCCAUAACUCUAUUGACCUUCCGACCCAUAAUCUGUUGACCUUCCGCCAUAUCAUCAUACUCAUAUCAUAACAUAUCACAUAUAUAACAUGCAUCACAUAAACAUCAUACACAUAAGACCUUCUGGUCACACAUAAUUACCCCAUCGGGUAUGGCAUAGUGAGAAGACUCACCUCGCUGAUGUCGGAUAAUCACUUGUGCUCGAUUCCCCAACUUAUCGUCCUCCUAUAUCAUAAGUACAUCUCUAAUUAAUACUUUCCUGACUUAGUUUGACUAACACUAUUAAGUCAACACUAGUCAACCCUAGUCAACGGUCAACCUUUGACCCGACCCGUCAAGUCUUGCAUAGACCCGUCAAGUCCAUACGUGAACUCGAGUCCUUUGAAUCCUUUUGGACUCACCGAGUCACUCACCCAACUCGGCGAGUCAUCCACUGAUCUAAGUCAUGGGACAACCCGCUCCAACUUGUCGAGUCUGCUCAUGGGCUUGACGAGUUCAUUCCAUGCACAACCUCAAACAACCUUCUGAGGUCAGAUCUAUUCCUCUAAUCCUUAGAUCUAACCUUCCCAAGCUCAAUAAUCUUGAUGCACAUGCAACAUCUAUAUGACCAUAUAUGAUGAUUUAACCCUAAAUACCAUAGCCUAAGGUCAUAACCUCCAUUGUUCUUCAUAAAGCUUGAUGAGUAAGGCUCUAUGGACCUCUAUGGAUCCAGAUCCAAAGCCUUAUCACCAGAAAGGGACUAUUUGGACAUCAAAUCAACCUAACAAAGGGUCCAAGAAACCCUAAAUCCAUAUAUUUUUCAUAAAACAGAAGAAGAGCCGAAUUACUACCUCAAAUGUGAUGAUCUUAGCUUCAAAUCCACAGAAUAGCAACCUCCUUUGCUUCCUCUUGGCUAAGACCUCAUUCUUCUUGCUAAUCAACACCACAAAGGUCAAGAAUGGCUUCUUUUCUCUAUCAAAAUGCUCAAGCACUCUAGGGUUUCUCUUAAUGGACUGGUAGCCACAAAUGACGGCCAUAUGGGCCUUUAAAUAGGUCCCAAAUCCGAGAAAUUAGGGUUUCUUUCGUCAGCUCUGACUCGGCGAGUCACUCCCCUUACUCGUCGAGUCCCCUCAUUAACCACGUCAUCCAGUCGCGACCAGACUCGACGAGUCUAAGCACCAACUCGUCGAGUCACCUUACAUAAUUACAGAAACACAACAUAAAUUAAUAUACCUGGGAAACUGGGUAUUACAAGAAGUAUGUGUUUUGUAGGUAAAAAUAAUAUAGGUUGUGUGAUAGUAUAUAUAAAACUUGAAUUUUUUUUGUAUGUUACCGUUUGAAGCAAACGGUCGAAAUUAUGGUCGUUGAAUAAAACCACAAGCAAAAUCGCAACGUGACCUUCCGUGUUCACCAUAACGCCUCUUAACAUAACACCUAAUAAUGGCAGGGGGUGUUCCUCCCAUUAUGACACUGUUAUUAGGUGCCAUGUCACCUAUAAGGGGGCUUCCCGUUGCCCACACCCGUCUCUUUUAUAAAAUACUAGGUGAAUGCCCACACGUUGAGCAGAAACACCUAUAUAAUUGAAAUCUUUAUAAAUAUAUGUUUUUUUAAAUAUAACAAUAAAGUUGUUGUUAAAUUUGAUAUAAUAAUUUAUAUACUAAAUUGAUAUAAUAUAUUGAUUAUUUUGAAUUAUAUGCUAAUAUAUACAUCUAUUAUAACUGUAUAAUCUCAACCGUUUGAAUGACUUCUACCCGUCAGCUACUCAUGAAUAAAAUUAAAUAUAAUAUAUGGUUUAAUGUUAUUUAUAGUUGUUGUUAUUUUUAAUUAAUUUUUAAAAUUUAUUUGUUUAACGUUUUAAUUUCUAUCAUUAUAAUUAUUUAAAACAUUAAACAUUGUUUUUUGGUUUUAAAGGUAUCAAUAUAAUAAUAAUUUAUAUAGACUUAUUUUUAACUAUUGUUAUUGUAAGUUAGUUUAAGCUAUUUAUUUGAAAACUUUUAACAAUUAUAAAACUAUCUUUAUGAAAUAUUUUAGUUAAAUUGAGAUUAUAAUUUAGUUUUUGCAUUUAUCACUAUAAUUAUCACUUUUAACUAUUCACUGGGCUGUUUAAGUGGAACUAAAAUUUAUAUUUAAGUUGAUACUGUAAUGUUAUAUUUAAAUUAACAAUUUAAGUAUUUUAUUCAAACUGUUAAAAAGUUGUAGCUUUAAACUGAUAAUGGUUUACAUACAACAACAUAUUAAAUAUAAUAAAUUAAGUAUAAUAUGUUAAAAGUUAAAGAUAUAACUUUAUAAUUAGAAGUAAAAUUAUUAUUUUAAUAUUGAAAUUUAGUUUAUUUAUGAUUACACUUUAAGUUCGAUAUUUAUUUAACCUUAUUAACCAGCUUAUAAUCAUUAUUAGAAAGACACUACAAUUUAUCACUUUUAAUUAUUUACAAAAUAUUCUUUGGGGUUUUUAAGUUAAACUAAAAUUUAUAUUUAAGUUGAUCAUGUAAUGUUAUAUUUAAAUUUAUAAUUUACGUAUUUUAUACAAAUUGCUCAAAAGUUGUAGUUUUAAAAUGAUAAUGAUUUACAUCUAACAUAUAUUAAAACUAAUAAAUUAAGUAUAAUAUGUUAAAAGUUAAAAAACAUAACUUUAUAAGUAAAAGUAAAAAUAUUCUUUUAAUAUUUAAAUUUAGUUUAUAUAUGAUUACAUUUUAGUUUUGAUAUUUAUUUAAUCUUAUUAACUAACUUAUAAUCAUUAUUAGAAAGAAAUUGAAAAGUCAGGGAGUUUCAAAUGAAUGUGGUGAAAGGAAAAAUGUUUCAUUUAUAUAUAUACUAGGCGUAACCUCGCGCGUUGCACAAGAAUGCAUUUAAGUAGUUAAAAUAAUUAUGGGAAAAAAUAAAAAUAUGUUGAAAUUUACAUUUUUAGUCAUGUUUUUAGGCAUUAACCGAAUUAUCAAAUAACAUAAAAAUUCAUCAACUUAUAUUUUGAUACUAUCUAAUAUAGUCUAUAGCUUAUAAAUUUUACUUUUAAUUUUAUAAUAUCCAAUAUAUAUUAUAAGUUUUUGUAUAACAUUCAUAUAAUAUACUUUUCUUAUGUCCGAUAAUAUCUUUUGGAUAAAAUAAGAAAUACGUUGUUUUGAAUGAGCUAUUAAUAAACACUAUUUAACUAAUAAACUUUGUAUUACACUAUUUAUAUUAAACCAAAACAUCCAAGGUUUCAUAUAUGAACUUGAAAAUAUUAUACAUUGAAAUUAAGAAUGAAGUCAUACAAAAUAUAUCAUUAUACAUAAAUGUCAUCAAGAGUUUUAAAAUAAGUCGAUUAGUAAAUAUGAUAUUUAACUUUAAUUACAUAUUUUGCAAAGCGUAUGUUUGACUUUAUGUUGGUGCACCGAGAAUCAUCUUCCUUAAUUUGUACCUAAAAAAUUAAGGUGAAUAGGAAUAUAAAAUAGAUAUUACUAAGCAUUAAUAUAAAUAAUUGAAAAACGUAUAUGGAUCUCCUACCAUCGGUUAAAGACAACAUAUCUCUCUAGUGGUAUCGAUUCCUAUGUGAAAUUGAAGUAGUCAUUCUAUGUACACCUUGUUUUCUAAUUACAUUAACAAAUAUGAGUAACCUAACCUAAAAAUGUUAUCUUUAUGUAAGAAAAAUAUUUUAGUUAACUAACAAAUUAAAUAAUAUAAGUUUAAGCGUUAGGAGUUUCAAAACAUUAAUAUUUUUAUUAAUCAAUCAAUUAAGUAACACAUGUUAAAAUUUUUACAAUCAUUANUAUAUAUAUAUAUAUAUAAAGAGAGAGAGAGGAGAGAGAGAGAGAGAUGGAAAAUAUAACAUAUGCAUGAGUUUUAAUUAAUUAUCUUUUUGAAAAGGUACAAUUACAAAACAAAAAAAACAUAUUUAAAACAUUUAAUUAAGUAUUUUCAGCAUCACCCUAUAUAACAUAUGAUCAAUAUAUUAAUGAUUAAACCAUAAUAUAUAACUAUUGUAUUACAAUAAUCCAAAAACGAAAAAAAUAUAAAGACGAAUUAGUAUAACAAACUUACAAAUUAAAAGCACUAAUAUAAUAGCAUAUCUCCAAAAGUGGUCAUAAGACCUCAAACUAACACAAAAACCUUGAAGUUUGUUUUCUUUUUAAAAUUUGUAUAUGAUUUGUAUCCAUGUCUGCCCAAAAGAUUGGCCUUUUUAUAGUAAACUUUUCACUAAAUGCUAAUUAAACAUAAUAUAAGUUAUAAAACUUUUGAGUGUUAAAUCAUAAUUAAGAAAACUUUUGAGUUGCAUUAGUUUAAAAAGGGGGUUUCAAAUGGAUGGUUUGAGAAAGUUAAAAAAGGGGGUUUCAAAUGCAUGAGAUUCAAGAAAAAAUGCUAGUUUUAUAAGUAUGUAUGAUAUAGAGAUUAAUUUUGGCUCAUAAAAUUCAAUUUCAAUUACUUUAAGUGUAAAUAUCGUAUAAUUUAAUUUAUUUGGUAGAUAAACGGUUUUAUUUGAUUACAUGUUAAAAAAUUGAUUCUAUUUUUUUUUUAUUAUAUCAUUAUGUUAGACAAAUGUAAAUUCCAAUUCAAUGCCCUCUUUGUCGAUUAAUGGAUCAACUCCAAUUUCUCGAACUUGGCUAGAAUUCUCCGUUGCUUUCAUGUCGUCUCCGGUCUCCGUGCUAAUUUCAACAAGUCUAGAGUCUUUGGUUUAGGGGUGGCAGACAAUGAGAUUUCCAGUUGUGCCAGAGUCCUUGGAUGUGAAGUUGCCACCUUCCCUUUUAUUUAUCUUGGUGUUCCUGUGGGGGCCAACAUGGCUCAUAAACGCAACUGGGCUCCGGUUAUGGAUCAAAUUAGUGGUAGAAUUUCUAACUGGAAAUCAAAAAAUUUAUCCUUUGGUGGUAGAUUAAUUUUAGUCAAAUCAGUCCUUGGGAGCAUGCCCCUGUAUUACUUUUCUUUGUUCAAAGCUCCGGCUUCCAUCUUGGAGAACAUUAAAAAAAUUAGACGUCAUUUUCUUUGGGGAGGAUGUGAGGAAAGAAACAAAAUUCAAUGGGUAAAAUGGGAUACUGUCCUAGCUAGUAAAAAGUGCGGUGGCCUCGGUGUUGGUUCUAUGAGGAGUAUCAAUAUUGCUUUACUCUUCAAAUGGUUCUGGAGAAUAAAGUCAGAUAGCACAACACUUUGGAGUCGGGCUAUUUGCGUUAUUCAUAACUCCUUUUCGAAACCGCUAUCUAAUCUUUCUAAUAAGUCUUUUCCAGGCGUUUGGUAUAAUAUUGGUAAAAUUAUGCAAGAUGUUGAAGCUCUAGGCAUCAAUCCUUUGAAGAUUCUCAAGUGUUCGGUGGGCUCUGGUACUAACACUCUCUUUUGGCAUGACUAUUGGCUGGGAGAUGAACCUCUUGCCUCUAAAUUCCCUCACCUGUUGGCCCUUGAUGUGAAAAAAAAUCUAGUUUUGUUUCUGAGAGAAUAUCUGUAAAUGGCUGUGAUGAGAUAUGGUCCACUGGCGUGGCCUAGACUGCUCUAGCGCGCCAGCCUGGCCUGGCGCGCUCCUGCCAGCCUUGCCUGNNNNNNNNNNNNNNNNNNNNNNNNNNNNNNNNNNNNNNNNNNNNNNNNNNNNNNNNNNNNNNNNNNNNNNNNNNNNNNNNNNNNNNNNNNNNNNNNNNNNNNNNNNNNNNNNNNNNNNNNNNNNNNNNNNNNNNNNNNNNNNNNNNNNNNNNNNNNNNNNNNNNNCCUGGCCUGGCGCGCUCCUGCCAACCCUGCCUGGCGUUCCCUUGCCAGCCCUGCCUGGCGUUCCCUUGCCAGCCCUGCCUGGCGCUCCCUUGCCAGCCUUGCUGGGGACUCCCUUGCCAGCCCUGCUAGGGACUCUCCUGCCAGCUCGGCCAGGCGCUCCCUCGCCUGGCACUCCCUUGCCAUCCUCUCCUGGUGCGCGCCCGCCAACCCUGCCCGGCGCCUCUGGGCGGCCUUGCCCAGCUCCUUGCUAGUUGGGCCUGAAUUAGGCUGGCCCAAGGCCUGACCUAAUUGUCCCCUAUAUAAUGAAUAGUACCUCCUCCAUGGAGAGGCACCCUUUCCCUGGACUCUCCCCCAAGUGGUGCUACCACUACUAGACUUCCCCAUGGCUCAGCCGCCACUAUACUCCGGCUGGGUGGCUCAGCCGCCACCCGCCGCCGUCAGCCAUCACUAGCACCAAGAUGGUUCUCUCCAGCUAUGGAGGACCAUCUCAGAUCUUCUAGCUGAUCUAACUUGACCGUUGGAGUCCGCUCCCGGGGCACAGUCCUUGGGGCGGCUCUAACGCGUCUCUAUGAUUGUGAUGUCAGAUCUCCGCCGCAGCAGAAGACCAGAAGACUCGCCGGAGGCUGAUGUUCCAUCAUUUGGCGCCAUCCGUGGGACUCGAACCCACGACCACGUGAGAUCGAGGAGUGGGACAAAUUUCUAUAUUAUUUCUUUAACUGGUCUGUCUCUAAUUCCCGGACUUCUACCUUGGCUACUGAUGGCAGUUUUUAUGUCAAUAAUUUAAGACGUAUUAUCGAUUCUAAAAUCACAUGUGCUGUUGAUAAUCCGAUCAUCUGGACUAAUGAGGUCCCCCGCAAAGUAACUGGUUUUGCUUGGCGCGCAUGUAUGGAUCGCAUUUUUUCUGCGGUGGCCCUUUCUCUCAGAGGAGUCUCCAUUCCCACCUCCUGUAACUUUUGCUCUAAUGGACUCGACUCUACAGAUCACAUUUUGAUUGGCUGCUCGUUCGCUACUGAGGUGCUUCAAUGGACGUUAAAAUGGUGUACUAUUCCAUGGCAGACUUUUGAUUCGGUGAAAGACCUGGUGGGUUUUGCGGCUAAUUGGGGUAGAUGUCCAAAGAAGAGAAGAAUCUUGAUUGCCAUUGUGUACGAUUACCUUUGGUUUGUCUGGAAAGCCAGAAGUGACAUGGUGUUUAAUAAAAGGCAUACCACCCCUACGAAUACGGCGGACCACAUCAUUAUUGAGGUCUAUAAUUGGGUGAACUUUAGGGGCAAUUUUGGUAGAUUUAUUUGGUCGGAUUCGCUUUGUUGUCCUUUUAAAACUAUGUAGUCUUGUUUUGUUUUCUUUUUGCUCCGCCUGUCUCUUAUAGGCUUGUGUUUGUUCAAUUUUAUCUGUUGCUUUUUUAUAAAUCGCGGUUUCAAAAAAAAAAAACAGUAAUGAUUUAUUAGAAAUUUUGCUGCCCCUCCUUUUUACUUUCUUUGACUAAUAGGUAUUGCUUUCUAAUUAGAAAAAGCCUCCAAUAUUGAAACUAUUUCAACGCAUCCACUGUUUUCUAAAAUGACUCUUCUGGUUCGUAAGCUCACCAAUAUUGAAAAUAAAUACCAACGCAUCCACUGCUUUUUAAAACAACUUGUUUUUGGUGGUAAACCCGAAUAUUCUCUCCUUUUCAACGAGGUAUGUCAUUCUCCUUCGCUCCAUUGCCUUUAUCUUACCCUGAAGAGAUACAACAUGACCUUUCCCCGUUUAUACUUAUCCAUAAAAAUGGUCGUAUUGAACGGCUAGUCGGAGAAGAGAUCACCCCUCCAUCAACCGAUUACACCACCGGAGUUCGCUCCAAAGAUGUCCAAAUCUCACCGGAAACAGACCUCUCCGCUAGGAUCUACUUGCCAGGAACUAUUAUCUCCCAAGAGCAUAAACUCCCUGUCCUUAUUUAUUUCCACGGUGGUGGUUUCCUUUUCGGAACAGCCUUCAGUACUAUGUUCCAGCCCUUCCAUAACAGGCUUGCUUUGGAAGCACAAACCAUCAUCGUUUCUGUUGAUUACAGAAGAGCCCCCGAACAUCUCUAUCCAACUCAAUAUGAUGAUUCUUGGGAAGCCAUCAAAUGGGUUGCUUCUCAUGCAAAUAGAAACGGUUCGGAGCCAUGGCUUAAUGACUAUGCUGAUUUUGAACGUCUGUUCUUUGGUGGGGAAAGUGCUGGUGGAAACAUAGCUCACCAAAUGGGGAUGAGGAUUGGGUUAGGAAAAGACUUGGAUGCUUUUGGUGAUCGAGUGAAGCUUUCUGGGAUUGUCCUGAUCGAUCCACACUUCUGGGGAGAAACUCUAAUUGGUGGUGAGGUGAAUGCUGAUGUUAAGGAAAUAAAUAUCUUGGAAAAACUCUGGCGAGUGAUGAACCCAUCGUUAAGCAGUUUUGAUGAUCCGUUGAUAAACCCGGCAAAAGAUCCGAAUCUUUCGAAGUUAGGGUGUCGAAGGGUACUUGUUUCUGUGGCUGAGAAAGAUUUGUUGAGGGAUAGAGGAUGGUAUUAUCAUGAUGUUCUGGUGAACAGUGCAUGGAAUGGGCAAGUUGAUAUAAUUGAAGCCAAAGGAGAGGGACAUGUCUUCCAUUUGUAUCCACCUUUCCGUGAAAACGCUUUAACUUUGUUCAAGACUUUGUUUUCUUUCAUCAACGGGGACAACUACAUAGAUGUACACAAUAGUGGUUAAAACGUAUGCUUUUCAAUGUUUUUCAUGCUAAUAAAGAAAUACUAAAUACUAAAUAAA